ACUGGACCCAAUCUGGACCCAAUAGCUAUGCCAGGGAUUGGACCUGCCAGUUCAGUCCCCAUUCUGUUGUUGCUGUUAUGAUCAGCCGGGCUGCAGAUGCAGCAGUGGUUCCACAAACCCCUUCCAGCAGGGUUUGUUGGUGGUUUGAUUGUACCCUCAAUUACCAAAUUAAGUUUGGUAACAUAUUAAUAUUCACUGUGACCACUGCCCUGGGAUUACUUUGUGACUAAGGGCCACCUAUAAAUUUCUUUAAAUAACUGUAGCAGGAUAGUGGAGAUAUUUUAAGUCAGAUUUAAAAUGACCCCCAUGAAGUUUUCUGCACUAUGGCCACAUCCACAACAUGCUCUUUUACUGCUUUAAUAACCAUGGCUUCCACCAAGGAAUCAUGGCAAGUGUAGUUUGUUAAGUGUGCUGACCUUAUGGAGUUACAUCUUCCAGCACUCUUAACAAACUACAGACCCAUAAAAUCUCUGUGACUGUUAAAGUGGUAUAAGAGUGGUAUAAGAUAUUAAUAGAUACUGUAGAAAGAGGUGGCUUCGGGUUACCGGAUUUGAAGCUAUAUUACGAAGCCUCGUGUCUUCUCUGGUUGAAAGAUUGGUGUUUAUUAAAAAAUUGGGAUAUUUUAGAUCUAGAAGGCCAUGACACCCGUUUUGGGUGGCAUGGCUAUCUUAAUUAUGGGAAAAUAAAGGUGCACCGGAGUUUUUCAAAUCAUAUAAUAAGAAAUGCUAUAUAUAAGGUGUGGGGAAAAUAUAAAAGAUAUUUGGAACAGAAAACCCCAAGAUGGAACUCUCCAUUGGAAGCAGUCGCUGUUAAAAAAAAAAAAAAAACAUCAAAGAGAACUGGAUAACGUAUAACACAAUAUUAAGGGAGGAGGAGGGUCAACUAAUAUUGGUAAGUUACGAGAAAAUAAAAGAUCACUUUUCUAGUUGGCUAGAUUACUUCCAGGUGAAUGAAAUGUUCAGACAGGACAAGCAGAUAGGUUUUGAAAAGGAGCCUUCAGAAUUUGAAAGAGAUUUACUGAAUAGUAAAACUAAAAUAAUCGCAAAAAUGUAUAGACUUCUUUUAGAUUACGAAGUAAUGGAUGAGGAGGUUAAGACUUCAAUGAUAAAGUUGUCCCAAGAUGCGGGCCGCCCAGUUAUGCUAAAAGAUUGGGUAAACUUAUGGAAUGUAAAUUUGAAAUUUACAGCCAUCUAUAACAUCAGAGAGAACAUGAUGAAAAUGGCUCAUAGGUGGUACCUCACUCCUUCCAGAUUAUCAAGAUUGUAUAAAAAUUUGGUGAAUGCUUGUUGGAGAUGUGGAGGAAAUAACGGUGACAUGAUCCACAUGUGGUGGACGUGUGAAAAGAUUAAGAUUUUUGGGGGGAAAAUAUACGAUGAAUUAAAAAAGAUGAUGAGGAUAACUUUUAUUAAAAAACUGGAGGCAUUUCUAUUAAGUAUUUUAGACAAAGAGAUCCCCCCCAAAUUAAGAGAGGUAUUAUUGUAUGCAACCGCAGCGGCUUGUAUACUUGUGGCCAAGGGAUGGAAAGAUCACGAGGCUCCAAAAAUAACAGAUUGGCAAAUCAAAUUACAGGAAUUGGUGGAGACGGCUCAAUUGACUAGCAAACUCCGAGGAAUCUCAAAGCAGAAAUUUGCAGAAAAAUGGGAGGGUUAUAGAAGAUAUGUUCAAAAAUACAAAAAUAGUUUUGACUCCAUGCUAGCAUUAGAGUGAUAAAGGAACUAAAAGGAGGUGGACAACAAUUAAGGAUUUAUUAUGUUUUCAGAAUGUAUUAGAAAAAUUAUAUAGAAAGGUUUAUUGUUUUGUGUACAUUCAAAUGUAAGAUAGAAUAUAUGCAAAGGGACUUGACAGGAAGUCAAAGUUGAAGAAAAGAUUUUGGAAGAUAAAAGUUGGAAAAAUAUUUACUUUCAUUAUAUUUUGUGUGCGGGUUGGGGGUAUUUGGGUGUCUGCACAUAUGAGUGUUUUUGUAUGCAAUGUUUGGGAGGAAAUAAGAUGGCAAAUAACAAACAACAAACUAAAUAUUGAUGUAUGUAAUUUUUAUUUCUUAAUUAUAUUUAGUGGUAGUAUGGCUGUAUUGUUUUUUGUAACAUAAAAUCAUUCAAUAAAAAUUAUUAAAUAAAUAAAUAAAGUGGUAUAAGAGUGUUUACAUAUGUGGUGUUGAUGUGGGCGAUGUGUGGUGUUAUGGAAUGGGGGUUGCCAAGUAUUCAUGGGAGAGAGGUGAAAUUUCAGUUCACUUGAUGUUGAACAGAACAGUAUAGUUAGUUCCUAUUGGUGGAUGGAAGAAGGAAGAGGCCAAGAGAGAAGAGGUGAAAAGAGGAGUGAAGCUCCUUGCUCACCUCAACAAUAUCAAAACUGGAUUCAAAGUUCCAACCAAAAUUCAUGGAUGGGGGAACUGGGAAAGGUAGGGUUGAAAUUAUGCAACUCUUUAGAUGGAGCUAAAACAAAAUAAAGCUUUUCAGAAACCUAUCAAAAAUUAUUUAUUGAGGAAUUUUGGUUCAGCCCUUAUAUAUUUUCUAUUGAAGAUGACAGCUUCUGGAGCUCAACCAGUUGCACUGAGCAAUGUGACUCUGACAUUACAGAGAAACUCAUACUCAAAAAAGCAGAACUUCCAUAAUGCAUUGACCCAGAAACUACAAUAUUUUUGUAAAAUGAAAUUGUUUUGGCUGAUAGCAGAAGUGCCGAGUAAAAUGGAAUUAGAAAUUGCUUUCAUUAAAAGUAUACUUUCUGUCUACCCCCUACUAUUACAAUCACAGUUUCUUUUCAUCACACACUCUCUGCAAAUUUAUUUUUACACUGGCAGAGACUUUUGAACUCCUUUAAACAGGGAAGACAAAACACUUUCAGAGAGGUGAUAGAAUAAUGGAAAUCCAUUGGAAAACACUCAGCAUCAACUACAUUUUAUUUGAUCCAUUGUUCACAGAAGGCAGACACACAUCAAUUGGCUUUGUUGUUACACUCGAAUGUAAUGCCCUUUGUUCCAAAUGUACAUGUUAAUUGGUAGCUAACUCACUUUGAUGACAUGUUUGGUGCACUUGAGGGACAUAUUUUUCUAAAUUGCCAUAUUUUAAAUAGAUUGUACCUUGCAAGUCUUAAAAUUGUCAUUAGAACUUGGCAGAAUUUGCCUUGCUCUGUGUAGACAAAUGCUCCCAACUUGCUUACUCAUCCUUACAAUAAUGUACCUGUGUUUUAGACAGAACAAGGUAAACAGACAAAACCUAGGAGUGGGGAGUGGCGGCAGAAGCUGAGAAAAGUGGAACAAUUGUUGCACAGGUAUAGAUCAGCACUAUAAUUCUGAAGGUGUUUUUCACCUUUGCAUUUCAAACAGGUACCCCACAACCUAGACAGCAUCUUAAAAAGUAGAGAAAUCACCUUGCCAACAAAGGUCCGUAUAGUAAAAGCUAUGGUUUUCCCAGUAUGGAAAUGUAUAGAAAUGAGAGCUGGACCAUAAAGAAGGCUGAUUGCCAAAGAAUUGAUGCUUUUGAAUUAUGGUGUUGGAGGAGACUCAUGAGAGUCUCAUGGACUGCAAGAAGAUCAAACCUAUCCAUUCUUAAGGAAAUCAGCCCUGAGUGCUCACUGGAAGGACAGAUCCUGAAGCUGAGGCUCCAAUACUUUGGCCACCUCAUGAGAAGAGAAGACUCCCUGGAAAAGACCCUGGUGUUGGGAAAGAUGGAGGGCACAAGGAGAAGGGGACAGCAGAAGACGAGAUGGUUGGAUAGUGUCUUCAAAGCUACCAGCAUUAGUUUGACCAAACUGCGGGAGGCAGUGGAAGACAGAAGUGCCUGGCGUGCUCUAGUCCAUGGGGUGACGAAGAGUCGGACAAGACUAAACGACUAAACAACAACAACAACAACCCCACAACCACCUCAAUUCUCAUUUGCAAAUCCUCUUCUCCCAAGAAAAAGUAGUGAACUUUCUGAACUAAUGUUUCUAGUUGCAUGACUGAGUACAUAUUUGGUAAGAAAUAAAUACUGGAUCUUUGCCUAAGUACAUCUAAUGUACAAGUCUCCACUGAAUAUUGUUAUCUAACAGAGUCCACGUCUUGGGAAUUUGAGGGUGGAUAAAGUACCAGAUUCAAUUCCUUUUUCCUUAACCUAGACAUUGGGAGUUCAUGGCUCUCCUGAGUUCCCCAUGUCUGCUGUAACUUAACAGGACUUUCCCCUUCCAUGGGAUUGCUUACAGCAGUGGUUUGUGCAGCCCUAUUUUGUACUCCUAUAUUUCUGGAUCAAAAUAAAGGAGUGGGUUGAUAAAUCUUUCAAAAAACGGAAAAAAAACCCCACUCCCUACCUUAUUUUGUUUUUGUUUUGUAUUGGUUCGCAUCAUUUUAAUUAGUCUGCAAUGUACAUCUAUUUUACUAAUACCCAUCUGCCUGUGUUUUCUUCUGCCUCUGUUUUGAUCUCCAGCUGGUUUUAAUAAAAACAUUGUCAGUAGAAGAAAUAUAUAUUUUUAUUGCAUAUGUUAAAAACACAAUUUCAUUUAAACUUUUUUUCUCCUCCAAGAGUGACAAAUUGCGAAAGAGAUGUAUCAAUCACACUACCGAUGUUUGCAAAGCAAACAUACAAACUCUGGUGGGUAAUAAUUCAUGGGAUAGCAAGGGCAAAAACAGUGUUCUAGUUGACCGCAAGACCUCAAGUCUAAGCUCUCUGCAAUGCUAUAUAAAAAGUAAAUCCCACCAAUUUUGAUGGGUGUUCUUCUAUGUAAGUACAUAAAGGAAUGCAGACUUCGUGGGAAAGAGCUCUCGCUGUUUACAGUGACUAUUCGCAUCAUGACUGACCACUGAUAUAUUGCUUGGAAAUUGCUCCUGUGCUUUCAACAAGUAGAUUACAGUGGUACCUCGGGUUAAGAACUUAAUUCAUUCUGGAGGUCCGUACUUAACCUGAAACUGUUCUUAACCUGAAGCACCACUUUAGCUAAUGGGGUCUCCCACUGCCGCUGCGCCGCUGUUGCGUGAUUUCUGUUCUCAACCUGAAGCAAAGUUCUUAACCUGAGGUACUAUUUCUGGGUUAGCGGAGUUUGUAACCUGAUGUGUCUGUAACCUGAAGCAUCUGUAAUCUGAGGUAUCACUGUAUGGAACCUUACAGUCGGGAAACUAGGACUAAAAGAAGAUAUUCAUUGUUUCUCUCAUUGAAGGAGGUGAAUAUCUCUGGUGUUCUUUGAAACACAAGCUGUUUCAUAUAAUUUUAAAAAUUAUGAGGGUGAAAAUGAUUUCACAAAUCCAGUGUUGCCCUCAUGCGUUCCUCUAAGCCAGUGUUUCUCAACCUGUGGGUCCCCAGAUGUUGUUGAACUACAACUCCCAUCACCCCUAGCUAGCAAGGCCAGAGCUCAGGGAUGAUGGGAGUUGUAGUCCAACAACAUCUGGGGACCCACAGGUUGAGAACCGCUGCUCUAAGCACUCCAAACCCCCUGCAAGGACAGCUGCUUACAGAGGAGCGGCUAUCUAACCUACGAUGCUCAUAUCUACAAUGUCUGGGUAGGAAAGGGAGAGAAAGAAUAUAAUAGGGAAGUGGUGGUGUUAGGGUUCUUUCAGUUUCCCAUUUUUCCAGUCUUACAUUCAGUUCUCCACAUUUCCUCAUCUGCUUGCAUUUUUUUAAAAUCACACAAAAAAAUCAUCAUGAAAAUUCACCAGCAUUUUAGUGCGAAUGUCUCCUAACACGUGGUUGCCUUUCAUUUUGCCUAAUAAACACAUUUCUACAUAGUGGUUUCCCCUAAUAGAAUGUAUUUUGUAUGCUAAUUUGACCAAUGCACACAAUUCUAUGCACCCUAAGAUAUGCAUUGCUGCACACAUUACUUGCAUUGAAAAUUCAGAAAAGUACAAAAUUCAAAGAAUGGUCACAGUUCAGCUCAUGUAUUGUUUCGAAAAGUACAGAUUAGGUAGAGUCACCUUUAAAGGUAAACUGCAUCAAAUUACUCCCCUACCCCAAGGAAGUGGUCCGUGGCCUGUGUUAUUUCAUAGGGCACUAGAAUAGCUUUCAAAACUACUGCUAGUUCAGUAAACAAUUCCAUUUUCUAUUGUAUCUAUAUUUAUCUACACAUAUACACAGGUAGCUAGAGGCAGCUAUUUCACACCUUAAUUUAUUUGAGUCUUUGAAACUUUGAGAUUAGGAAUGUAUGCAGAUACAGAUACAUUAUACCUGCAUUUUACCUUGCAAUGCCAGUACAUGAGAAGAGUAGUCAAACGCUGACAAGACUGAGUGAUAAUACUUCUAUUUGCGCUCUGAAAAUAUAUAUAUUAACUUCUAUACUCAGGCUUAAAAUACACAUAUAUCUUCAUUUAAGAAAACUUCCUGCUAACUUUUAAAGCUUAAUAUUUCAAAUAUAUAGUUGUGCUAUUGGCAACCAAUCCUCCAUAACUUCUUCCAUGAAAUUCGAGUAUAUUUUUACAGACUGCCCUCUGGAUUCUCAGUUCCCUUUAUUGAUUUUUGUACUCCUUGGGGCUGGCUCUGUUGAAACAAGCUGUACUGUAUUUUGGGCUUGCUUUUAUUACUUUACCAGGCUCUGUAGCUUGGUUAUUGCAUUUGUGCGUCAUUUUGAAAUUUACGUCCUGUUUAAUUGCAUUUCUUAUUUUUCUUCUUAGAAUUAUUCCAGGAAUAUAGCCUCAAAGAGGAUUUUAGGGAAUACAUUUUCGUAGGCUUGGAAAUACUCCCUGCCCCCAACAAAGUAGUAUUCUUUUGCUUUUUCUUUUGAUCCAGCAGCAGUGGAUGAAACAGAAAUUUUUUCUUCUUUGCCUUUUAACAAGAAGGCAGAAGCAACCUUCACAUUGUCUGUUAAAUAGAAUCCUCGGUGCACAUAAGUGCUCUGAUUCAGCUAAGGGUGAAGCUGCAUAUACAUUCCAGCCCCUUUUCCUGCCUGUGUCUGUCUCUGUCUCACGGCUCUGUCUCUGUCUAAGUUCUGCUCACCACCUUUUGUGGAGAUCUGUGGGGUUGAGGAGCUGCUUUUGUGGCAUGCAAGCAAGGAGGAGGAGAAACCAUCCUACCCCCAGUCCUCCAGAUUUGCCCAGCUUCUGGUCAGCUUGGCAUGGGUCUUUCUCUGUCUGGGAAAAUCUCCCGGAUAGCUCAGUUGGUUACAGCAUGGUGCUAAUAACACCAAGGUUGCAGAUUCGACGCCCAUAUGGGACAGCUACAUAUUCCUGCAUUGCAGGGGGUUGGUGCCUUCCAUCUCUACAAUUCUAUGAUUCUAUUGUUCAGUUUCAAAAAAUACAUAUAACAAAUACUCCCUAUAACUCCCACCCUCCCCAAGAAACUGAAAAUGUUAAGGAUAGUAGGAGAGGAUAUAUUGAUUAAAUAUUACCCUUCCUUCACUCAUUCUAGUGAGUCAUGCAGCAGAGGAGAUUCCCCUCAAUACAACAAGAAGCUAGUUUGCAGAUUUGUUUGAAUCGCUUUAGUUAUGCAAUCCAGUCUGGCUUGACCAGACUGGAUUAUUCCUGGUGUCCCCUUUGAUGCCUCUGAAAAGAAUAAAGACACAAGAGUCUUUCCUUAAAAGUAACAAGACGUUUACUCACAUUCAUCUCCCAGGAUGAUCCCUGAAGGCAGACUUUAGCUAAUAGUUACAGAACAUAGUGUGAGUUUAUCCCUUAUGGGGAUUGAGCCCAUGGGCUGCUGGCUCAGAGCCAGCAGACAGCAAAACACAUUAAGAGAACAGCCUCAAGAGAACAAAAUGGCUGCAGGAGAGCAGCAUGGCAUCAAACGAGAGAGAUGGCUGUGUGACUCGGCUCUUUUAUGGAGUCAGCCAGGAUCACACCCAUCUCCCUGGUCUCAUGCAGGGGGAGGACACUCCAGACCAGUGGAACAGGAAGUUAUACUGGCUGGAGUAACAUCCUCCUGCCUGUGUCCACUCUAGGGAAACAAGGAACGUUGUAUUUGACUGCUCCAAUGGAUUACAUCCCACAGAAACAUCCCAUGCCUACCCAAAUAUAAUCAAAGAUUAAGCAGAUUUGUGUUAGUUUCUGUUAUCACUGUGCAGCUGCAUGGAGUCACAGGACUCUGUUUACAUUCCAGAGACCUUGCAGUCUCACGGGAGAGGAGACGGGAUGUGACGCUAGUGGUUUCCUUGUUCCUUUGUUCCUUUGUUCAGUUGCUCUCUGCUUUCACAGAGAGAGGAUGUCUUUUCUGUUCUGUGUAGUUUAGAAAUAAAACUCUUUACAGUGUAGCCCAAACCUCUCGUCUCUUCCCUGUGCUGGGAACCCUGCUGGAUAGAAUGUGCUUGAGGCCUUAUCAAAGGCUCAGGUCAUUAAACAUGUCGGAGGCGAUUUCAAAGGCUCAGCUUGGAGGAAGAUGAGGCCUUAUCGGCUUCGCCGAGCGGAGAUUCCGACAAUUUGUACAAUAGUUUAGAGUUGAUAAUAGCUGUUAAAGGUAUUCUACUCUUCUUCUUUACAGAUUGUCCCAGAAUGGUGGGAUUCCCAGAUCCAUAUCUACUCCUUCCAAGGAAGCCCUCAGCCAGGUAAUCAAGCAAGAGUAGUUGGGGUACCGACAUAAGGAACCUUGCUAGUUCUGAGGGGCCUAGUUUGCCACUGGCCCUGUUAUCAUAAAAUUGUUGGGUCCAUUUUAGAGGACAAGUCUUUAUUAUUAAAAAAAAGGGGGGCUUUUAAAAAGGGUAAUGAAGAAAAAAUGUUGAGUCACCUUUAAGAAUACCUGUUCAGUCAGUAAUUGCCAUUUCUGCCCCACUUCUCUAUAGUAUAGAACAAAUCUGAGAAACAGGCUAUAGUAGCGAUAAUAAGUAUUAUGAAUACAUGUAAUAAGUAUUAUGAAUAAGUAUAAUAAGUGUUAUGAAUGUCGGUUUCAAGUGAAAUGAUUGCAGCCUGGAUUCAAUCGCCAACAAAAUUAGAAAGAGUUGCUAUGUCAAAGGAAUUGCUUUAGAUUUCCUCAGCUGACAGUCUCGGCCUAUAAGAGUGGUAAUCAGUCAUUUUUGUCUGCAAUUAGCACUGUUACAGCAGUUUGAAAAUAGGCAUCCUAAUUACAUAAAUUCUAGAAGCACUACAUAUAUUCCCCCAUGUGGAGAUGCUGGUUCACAUAAAUAGCCCUUUCUUUGCAAACCUUUGAGGCUCACAGCAUGGUGGUCACUGGCAAAAGAGAACUGGCCCUAUCAUCUGUGAACCUUACUGGCAACAGUUUAACGCAUCUAUAAGCUCAGGUGACAGCAGCAGAAAGCAGAAGGAGAAAUAAUCACAUAGAAAUGCCUCAUGCGCAAAAACAACAUUUCACUCUCUUCAACAGCCAGGAUCCAAGGAAUCUUGAAACUGUGGCGGGCCACGUAUAGAGAUUUAUUGAUGAAGGUAGGAAGUCAGUUAAAAUUAAAAACAUUUGAAGAAACAAAAGAGUUAUUGGCGGAUUGGUUGCAAUACCACCAGGUAAAUGAUGUAUUUAAGGAAGAUAAAAAGAAAAAUGGUUUUGAUACAGUAAGAUCUAGGCUGGAGAUUGAUUUAUUGGAUGAUACGAGGAAAAUAUUAUCAAAAUUGUACAAAUUGCUUUUGGAGUGGCAUACUAAAGAUGAGGAGGUUAAAGGGGUGAUGAUACAAUGGGCUAAAGAUUUUGGAUAUAAUAUUCAGUUAGAAUCUUGGGAAAGGCUGUGGAAUGAAGGUAUUAAUUUUACUACAUGCAGUGCACUUAAAGAAAAUGUGGUGAAAAUGAUGUAUAGAUGGUAUUUAACACCAUCAAAACUUGCUAAAAUACAAGAUCUAACGAGUGUUGGAAAUGGAAAGAAAAGGAAGGUAUCUUUUAUCAAAUGUGGUGGACUUGUAAAGAGGUAAAGUCUUUCUGGGAAAUUAUAUAUAAUGAGUUAAAGAAAAUGUUCAAAAACACCUUUGUUAAAAAAUCAGAAGCCUUUUUUACUGGGUAUAGUAGUUGAAGAGAUACCAAAAAAAGAUAAAAGACUGUCCAUGUAUGCAACAACAGUGGCAAGCACCCUUCUAGCCUCAAAAUGGAAACAACAAGAAGUACAUACCAACGAAAGAAAAGUGGCAGGUGAAAAUGAUGGACUUUGCGGAACUGGCGAAGCUGACGGGAAAAAUCCGAAACCAGCACGAUCAAGCAUUCCAAAAAGACUGGAGUAAAUUUGCACAGUAUUUGAAAGAUCAUUGUAAGCAAUCAACAACAUUAGUAGGGUUAUCUGAAGACUUGUAAUGAGAAAUUUUUUACCUUUCUAUAUUUAAAUUUUGAGGAAUUUUGUAAUGAGUUAUAUUAGAAUUGGAAUAUAUCUAAAAUGCUGUGAUAGAAAGGUUACUUUUGAAAGCCAAGAGGUGGGAGGGAAGGAAGUCAAUAGGCUCUAAAGAGCCAAAGAGGUAAAGUGGAUAAUAAUGAUGUGACUAUAUAUGUUUAAAUAGAAAAUUAAUAAAAAUCAUUUAUAUAUAUAAAACAAAGAAACUGUGAGCCCAUGAAGACUUUAAACUCUGCCCCUGCCACUCCAAGAACAGCCAAAUUCCUUUCCCACACCACAUGAGAAGAGGUCUGCCUCUCAGGGCCUUCUGACAGUUCCCUCACCACAAAAAGCGAGGUUACAGGGAACCAGGCAGACUGCCUUCUCGGCAGGGGUGCCCUCCCUGUGGAAUGCCCUCCCAUCAGAUGUCAAGGAGAUAAAGAGCUACACAAUUUUUAGAAGACAUCUGAAGGCAGCCCUGUAUCAGGAAACUUUUAAUGUUUGACGUUACAUUAUGUUUUUAUAUAAGCUGGAAGCUGCCCAGAGCUGCUCAGGAAAGCUAAUCCAGAAUGCGGCAGCUAGACUGGUGACUGGGAGCGGCCACCGAGACCACAUAACACUGGUCUUGAAAGACCUACAUUGGCUCCCAGUACAUUUAUGAGCACAAUUCAAAGUGUUGGUGUUGACCUUUAAAGCCCUAAACGGCCUCGGCCCAGUAUACCUGAAGGAGCGUCUCCACCCCCAUCGUUCUGCCCGGACUCUGAGGUCCAGCGCCGAGGGCCUUCUGGCGAUUCCCUCACUGCGAGAAGCAAAGCAACAGGGAACCAGGCAGAGGGCCUUCUCGGUAAUGGCACCCGCCCUGUGGAACACCCCCCCAUCAGAUGUCAAAGAGGUAAACAACUACCUGACAUUUAGAAGACAUCAGGGAAGUUUUUAACGUAUGACAUUUGAAUGUAUUUUUUAUCUUUGUUGGAAGCUGCCCAGAGUGGCUGGGGAAACCCAGCCAGAUGGGUGUGGUACAAAUAAUAAAUUAUUAUUAUUAUUAUUAUUAUUAUUAUUAUUAUUAUUAGCACUGUGUCAACCUCUUUGCCACCACACUUCCAUCCCUCUCCAUCACAGUAUGCUGCAGUGACUCAGCCGGAUGGAGGUCCGCUGAUGGAUGCAGUCCACCAUGCUGUCUGCUGCUGUCGUCACAACAUCCAAGCAGAUGCCUAGUGGAAGUGUACAAGCAGGACCUGAGUGCAACAGCACCCUCUUGUGAUUCCCAGCAACUGGUAUUCAGAAGCAUGCAACCUCCCACAGUGGAAGCAUGACAUAACCAUCAUUGCUAAUACUCAUCAAUAGCCAGUCCUCUGUGCCAUUCAAGUUGGUGGCCAUUGCAGAUGUCAAUUCCACAGUUUUACUAUGUGAAACAGUACUUGCUGUUGUCUGUGCUGAUUCUUCCAGUAUUCACCUGACUGGAUGGCCCCAAUGGAGUUUUAGUAUUAUGAGAAAGGGUUUCUUUCCUUCCUAUCCAUUUUCUGCUAAGCUAAAAUCUACUCAGAGUUUAGUGGGGCUUAAUCUCAGCUAAAUGCAUGUAAGAUUGCAGCUGAAGGGGAUUUUUGGAUCUUGGUCCAUUUUCUGCGACCACUGCUUAUGUCCAAAUUAAAUAUAUAUUUCCCCAAAAGUAAUUUUAGACCAACAUGUCUUUUUUAAAGCACCAUUGCAUCAUAAAGCUGUGAUGUAUUGUUUGUUUGUCCCAUGCUGAAAUAAUUAAAUCUGAAAGGUGAUGAUUGCUUUUGAACAUCUGUCUUUCGCUUUCAGAUUCUUCACACUCUGUUGAUUGGGUUAUGCUUUGUAUUAUUUCAAUACCCACAACUGUCAAGAGAAAUGGGGGUGGGUGGGGGAGUUCUCAUACAAAGUGAUGAUCCAAAGUCAGAAGCUGUAGUUCAUUUUUAAAAUAAAUGGUAAUAGAGUAUGACAGCUCCAGCUCUGAACGAAUUGUUUUCUGCAGUUUUGAAGGGCUGAAUUUGUUGCAAAUUGGAAAGUCGUCUAUUCUUUCUUCCAUUUGAAAAAUAAAGAUGGUGAGAAAGACUGUUUUUUUCUAAUUUAAUGUCAAUAAAAUGUCUUUAAGCCUUUUGGAAGCUGCCAUGCAUUGGUUGUUAAGAGAAAACAAAACAAAGCAAGAGUUAAUAAUUUGCAUCAGCAGUGUAGAACAAUAUGAUGUUGUAAUCUUGCCACUGCACAUCACUCUUACUUAAGAAAAUAAGACUUUGAAGAGCAUCUAGCUUGGUGCAUGAAUGUAUAUUUAUUUGGGGGGGCAGGGUUUCCUCUGUUUCUUAACCUGGUCUCAGGAAUCAACUUCAGCCAAAAAAAAUCUAGUUAAGCCAUAGUUCUACUGAAAACAUUUGUUUGUUUAUUCUAAACUGCAUAUGAUGCCUGCUAGCUAACAAUGGCUUUUGUGAUAGUUAGCAAAUACAUAAAUACAUUGCAAAUACAUAAAACAUGUUUUCUCCUGCUCUUGGUAUGUCUCCUUUUCAAUUAAACCUUGUUGGGUGGGGGGAGAAAAAGGAAAUAUAUAAAACAUGUUUAUUUCCCCAGACUGCCUUGGGGCAAAGAGCAGGUUUCCUUUCUGUUAUUGUGUGUUCUUGCUCAUGCAUGUACAUGUAUGCACAAAAGCCCAGGUACCCCUCUGACACAUAUUUUUUUUUGGGGGGGGGUGUUGAGAUUAAAGCCAUUGUACCCCAAUGAGUCAUUUGCUACCUAUACCAGAAGGAAUUAGGAACCAGACAAUUAGCUAGAGCUCAGAAAAAGAAUUUGUGUUUGUUUUUUAAUUGCCAAAUAGGAAAAUGUUCAUUAGUGUUCAAACAGUUAUUAAAAAGAAAGAGGCUGGCUAUACAGAGAGUAUUGAAACAGGGCCGUUAACUUAGAAGUUAAGUUAAUGUCAAUGGCAGAUGUAGGAGAUAUGUGAUCUCAGAUGAAAAGGUGUGGUCUUCCCCCAGCCAAGGAAGGCAUAUGUCUGAUAGUUAAAUCUUUAGGUAAAGGUAAAGGGAUCCCUGACCAUUAGGUCCAGUCGUGGCCGACUCUUGCGUUGCGGCGCUCAUCUCGCUUUAUUGGCCGAGGGAGUCGAGUCGGCGUACAGCUUCUGGGUCAUGUGGCCAGCAUGACUAAGCCGCUUCUGGUGAACCAGAGCAGCACACGGAAACACCGUUUCCCUUCCCGCCAGAGCGGUACCUAUUUAUCUACUUGCACUUUGACGUGCUUUCGAACUGCUAGGUUGGCAGGAGCAGGGACCGAGCAACGGGAGUUCACCCCAUCGCAGGGAUUCGAACCACCAACCUUCUGAUUGGCAAGUCCUAGGCUCUGUGGUUUAACCCACAGCUCCACCCAUGUCCCAGUUAACUCUUUACUGACAUGAAAAUCACAGCAGCUUUCACAGUGCUUCAGAUACACAUGAACACACACACACACACACACACCUCUAGCCUCUAGGCAGCUGCCCACUGCUCUAAGCCCUGCACACAGCAGUUGCACCAAGAGGGAGACCCCACUCCCUGUUAGCUUAUAUACCCUCCCUUGACAUGUUGUGCCUGGAAUUUCUCCUGCACAGAAGUCGUUCUUCUCUUCCUGCUUCAAACCCCUUCUGGUUCUUGGAGACAGUGGGGCAUGGGAAGGUGGGGAGUCUACUGACCCACCUGACAGCUGAACAGUCCCUUUUUCUUCCAUCACACUGCAUGCACCUUUCUCUGUCUCAGACUGCCCUGCCUCCCCUGUCUUGCAUGUGGCAUCAAUCCUCAGAAAUCACUAGUCCCCUCUCCUGGGUCACUCUCCGGGUCUCCUGCCUCCACCACACACUCUUUGGAAUCUUGCCAGUCCCUGACAGAAGGCAAUAGCAACAAGGAUAAUAAUUCUUGUUGGGAGCAAGAGGGAAGAAGAGAACGGAAAAAGAAAAAGAGAGUGCCGAUAUUACCACUCCUAGAGCAAAAAAAGGGGGGGGAGAAAGGGGACUUAUGGGGGGAUGCUUGUGAAUUGUGGAUUGUCUUAGGGGCUAACCAGCUGAGAUGCUUUUGGUGGAGUCAACAAUGGAUUCACAUCCCUGUCAACAAGGUACAGCAACGAAGCGCCGAGCUGUCACAUAAAGCAUAUGCAAACUAGGCUAAUGGAUGAACCAUGUGAUGAAGAUUGCUAGCAAAAGAGCAUUUUAUCAGAAAUACCUUGAUCAGGGAGGCUGCUGCUGAUCUGUGGUCAGCUGGUGGAUGCAAUGGGUUUAUCUAACUUUUCCAUACUCAUAGUAGCCCCACUGAAAUCAGGUCCAUUGGAUUCAAUGAGUCAGUUCUGAGUUUGAGUUAAUUGAACACAGCCUGUUCUAGUUAUGUAUAUAAGCACAUACCCAUUAAUAGUCUUAAGAACCCACAUAGCAAGUAAUGUAAGGUCUAGUUCUGGUUGCAAGACCAUGGGCUUGCAUCCUAAGAUAAGUUAACUUAAGGAACUACAUAGAAGGAAAGUUUCUCAUUCCUCCAGCAUUCCUCCCCUUGCCCCAUGCCUUUUCCCACAUUGUUUAGGAGGGUCUCCUGCAACAUCUGAAGAGACCUGUCAGGGGUAGGAAUGGAAGGAUCUUUCAGUUUCUCAUAUUGUCAAUAUUAAAUUUACUUCUCCAUAUUCUGCAGCAACUUCUGGGGUUUUUUAAUCCUCAUGAAAAUUGCAAAAUUCAAAAAAAAAAUAGGAUGAGUACAAUUUUCAAAGGAAAGCUGUGUUUCAGUUUACAUAUUGCUUCAGAAAAUGUGAAUUUGAUAGAUUUGGCUUUGAAUGCAUACUGAAUUGAAUUUACUUCAUCCCUACUGGAGGUGGGGUUAUCUAGGUUUGUGCUGGGGGAAAGAGAUAGUAAACUUUUCUUCCAUGAACCUUCUUUUCUUAUCUCAAGUUGCAAGCCAUGAUUAUUUGCAGAUAGACUCCAAUAUGAAUGACGACUUCUUCUUCUUCUUCUUCUUCUUCUUCUUCUUCUUCUUCUUCUUCUUGCUGUGCCUCUUACUAACAAGUGGGUAGCUUAUUGAGAUUUUAUAAGAUGUCUUCUGUGGUUUCCAGCCAAAUUUCUUUAUUGAAAUAUACAUUGAGACAGCAGCGGCAUUAAAGUUCACCUCAAGGUAAAGUUAUAUUAAGAUAUAAUUAACCAUUUUAUAACAGAUCAUAAUUGUGUUUCCAUACAGGGAGAAAAUAUUUUGAUUUCCACAAUAAUUAUAGGAAAGCAAUGCAGUUAGCGGCAGCAGUGAGCUUAUGCAGUGUGUAAGGGUUUCAAUCAAAGUGGAACUACUUGUAGUUAUCUCUGUUUUAUCCCUUAUGUUUUUUAAUGAUUUGUGGCAAUCAAGAGUACUCUUAUGAGGGAAAAUAAUCAAUGAGCAGAUUCACAACUUGUGAGAAUGUUAGUCUCCUGCAUUUAUAGCCGCCUUGCUUCUAUUGCUUCCUUUUAAAAGUAGGAACAUAAUGAUUUGAAAUGGAUGUGAUUGUGAGUGGUCAGUGAUAAAAAAAGGGGCAAGCCUCUCUCCUGACAAGGAGCUUGCCCUCCCACUGUUUUGUUGUUGUUGUUGUUGUUGUUGUUGUUGUUGUUGUUCAAUUUAUAUACUACUGUUUAUCAAAAGAUCCCAGGAUGGUGUACAACAUUAAGAACAUAUUUUAUGGUGGGCCAGAGAUGGAAAGAAGAGAAAGUCCCUGUGGUGUUUGCCCAUUCAUUUAGAGGCUGUCUGUACAGGGGAAAAGAAAGGGUUAAAAAUGUAGACCAAUAGGAAAGCUGGAGGCGGAGCCUACAUGUGUAUAAAAGGGCUUAGCCUGAGGUUUGUUAGAGCUGUUGGUGGGUAGUUGGUUGGUUUUAGUGGGUUGGCUGGUUGGCAAAGGCAGUUGGAGAAGCAGUUGAUAGGCAGUUGGAAAUAGAGAGACAGUUAGGGCAGUGGGUUCUUAAGUGAGGGGAGGUAGAAAAGAUAGAGAGAGGAAAAUAAGACUAAGAAAGUAAAGAGUAAUGUUUGGAAUACCGUAAAAGUUUGUGUCUGAAAUAAAAUACACUCUUCUUUAUUACCUUGAGAACCAGACUGAGACUGGAGUGAUUUUACCGGGGAGGACCUGGUUGGUGGCAGCGGAUUAGUGGUGUACGGGUCAGUAGUCCGUGAGACGACCAGGGGCUCCAUACGAACACCACAGUCUCGACCAGAGACGAAUGAUUGAUGAAGAUGAUAGACUAUGCUGAAAUGGUGAAACUGACUGGGGAAAUCAGAAACCAGGAAGAGAAGAACUUUAAGAAGGAAUGGGAAAAUUUUACAAUGUAUUUAAGAGAACACUGUAAACAACAAAAAACUUUGGCAGGAUUUGAGUAACGCUUGUAAUGUACUAAAAAUUAUGGUAAAAAGGGAUUAUUUAAGAAAAACAGAGAAGAUAGGAGAAGCAGUUGGAAAAAGAUUGAUAAUGGUAACCAUGGAAGGGCGGAGGGGAGUCAAAAGGUUUCAGGGAAUCCUAAAUGAUGAUGCUGAUGUUUAAUGUUUAAAUUUGCAAUGUAAAACUUAAUACGAAAGAAUUGACAUAAAAGUCAAACAAUAAAAAGAACGUAUUUUAUGGAGCAUACUAAUAAAAACAUAACACAGAGCAUAAAAAUAGACAGCUUACUACAGUGGUACCUCUGGUUAAGUACUUAAUUCUUUCCGGAGGUUCGUUCUUAACCUGAAACUGUUCUUAACCUGAAGCACCACUUUAGCUUAUGGGGCCUCCUGCUGCCGCCGUGCCGCUGGAACACGAUUUCUGUUCUCAUCCUGAAGCAAAGUUCUUAACCUGAAGCACUAUUUCUGGGUUAGCGGAGUAUGUAACCUGAAGUGUAUGUAACCUGAAGCAUAUGUAACCCGAGGUACCACUGUAUUAAAUUAUCAUGGUAACAGUUCCCACCAACACACACACACACACACACACACACACACACAUUUAACAGGCAAUGGGUAAAGACCUGGGUAAACAGGAAUGUUUUCUGCCUAAAGACAUGUAACGAUGGCGCCAGGCGAGCCUCUCUGGGGAAAGCAUUCCUUAGUCAAGGGAAGGGUGUCCUCUGAGGGUUUCAAGAUGGCCUACAUUGCCAAAGAGAAAAUGAGGGGUAGAAGAGCCAGAGAAUAGCAUUGGAGGUAUCGGGCUUAAUUAUUUCUUUUUAAGCAACUACGAAAUCUCUUAUGCAUACUUUAAAAAAAUAUACUUAAAUUACCCUGAAUCAUUUAUGGGGCUUGAGCAUCUAUAAAUAUUAUCAAGUACAGGAUAGGAAAAUUAGCUCAAGAACCCAUAAGCAGAAGGUGUUGUUUCCCCCUCCUUGUUUCUGAAGCAGAACAAAGGAAAUUAAAAUUAUAUACAAAUGGGGAAUAAAUGUUUGGUAUUUGCAUACAAAUUAAACAGCAAAGUAGCCCACUUUGAUUUUAAGAACUGCAUACUCCUUUAGAAGUAAAGUGCAUAGACAUUUUGAAAUGGAGCAAAGGAACUCUUAAAAAAAACACAACUAAUUAUAGAUUUGGAAAUUGGGAGAAAGGACUGCUGCUUCAACCAGGAAAGUACAUGCGACAGAACAAAUGGUGCUGUUUCCAAAUAACCAAUUCUUGUAGGAAAUAAUGACCUAUUGGCUAAGAGAGAGAAAAGAGAGGAACCAGUAAUGUAGUCCCAGCAUAUGAGCUCGUACAAUACCAUGCAGUUUAAUUUUAUUAAUUGACACUGAUUCCUAGCAUUUGCAUUCCACAGCAGACAGAAUGAAUACGUUGCUUUCUCAGAAUGGAAAUAUUUGCUCACUGCUUGUAUUCAAACAGGAUGUGCCUGUGUGAUUUCUUCACAUACGGAAAAGAAGAAGAAGAAGAAAAAUAAUUAUGCUGCAGCAAAAACACUCAGGUGGGUAGUUAUGCAGAUGUGAGAGCGUUUCCAGAAAUUGGACUCUAUUUAUCUUUAUAUUUGUGAAAAACCCCGUAAACAUGCAAACCUUGUAAGAGUGAUUGGCUGCUAGCUCUGCAUAAACACUGCAUACCCUCCAACCUUUCUCCAAUGAAAAUAGGGACGCCCUAUUCUAGGUAUAGGCAAACUCAGCCCUCCAGAUGUUCUUUGACUACAAUUCCCAUCAUCCCUGACCACUGGUCCUGUUAGCUAGGGAUCAUGGGAGUUGUAGUUCCAAAACAUCUGGAGGACCAAGUUUGCCUAUGCCUGCCCUAUUCAAUAGUAGUACAGUGGUGCCUCGCAAGACAAAAUUAAUCCGUUCUGUGAGUCUCUUCGUCUUGCGGUUUUUUCGUCUUGUGAAGCACGGCUAUUAGCAGCUUAGUGGCUAUUAGCGGCUUAGCGGCUAUUAACGGCUUAGCGGCUUUAAGAAAAAGGAAACAAACUCGCAAGAACUCGCAAGACGUUUCGUCUUGCGAAGCAAGCCCAUAGGGAAAUUCGUCUUGCGGAAUGACUCAAAAAACGGAAAACUCUUUCGUCUAGCGAGUUUUUCGUCUUGCGAGGCAUUCGUCUUGCGGGGCACCACUGUAGUAGUAUUAAUAAUAAUAAUAAUUUUAUUAUUUAUACUCCACCCAUCUGACUGGGUGGCUUCCAACAUAUAUAAACACAGAAUAAAACAUUACACUUUAAAACAAAAACAAAAAAACUUCCCUGUUCAGAUGUCUUCUAAGGUUGUAUAGUUACUUAUCUCCUUGGCUCAAGAGUCACAUAACUCCCUACCCUCCAACAUUCCUCUGAUGAAAUAGGAGUGUCCAAAGGAACCGUGAAACAUUACAGGAUCAAAUCAGAAACUGGGACGUCUUCUGUAAAUCCAGGGCUGUCCCUGGAAAAUAGGGACACUGACAUUGUAUUUUUUAUAUGUGGAGGGCCUAUGUUAGAUUUCAUGUUAAUGACCAGGUUGCAAAGAGGUAUUUCAGGGGCACCAAGGGCUCUGACAUGCUCUGUGGAUUUUGUACUUUUUUCUUUGAACAGAUGAAUUAGCUGUAAGCUGCACAAUGCCACUCAUAAAACUCAGUUGAGAGUAGUGUCAGUUGAGUGCUAGUGGUUGCUAGGUUGCGGAGGUCCUUGUGACACGCCCUUCAUUGUGACACCUCCCUCUGCUGGCUCCUUGGUCACAGGGGCUCUAGAGGCAUAGUGAUCUCCUUUGGUUUGAUCAUUCAGCAAGUGAGAGAGAAGUGGAUGGAGAUGUAAGUAGACUUUCUCAUCAGCAUCUGCAUUCUGUGCUGGUAAUGCUCCCUGACAGUCUUAGGAAACAUUUAAAAUAAGGACCCUGAUUGGGAUGUGUGGCAGAAUGAGUGUCCCACCAUCUGCUGGGCUUGCCAAACAAGCCUCUGGGAAAAACUUGGCCUCUGGUGGCAGAUGCUGCACUGCUCAAGCUCCUUCCAUUGGCAUUGGCUGUCUAGUCUGCCUCUGCACAUGAGUCUGGGAAUGUUCUGAUCAGUUCACAUUGAGUUCAGUACCCUGACCUGUUCUUAACGCAUUGUUGACCACAUCUACGGAACGCGAUUGUUAUGUUCUUUCAUGUCAUGCAAUAUCAAUCAUUCGUAAUAGUUUAAGUCUUGAUAAUCAAUCACUAGUUAAUAGUUUAACAAGGAGGAUUUCACGCCUGUCCAAUUCUGUGUUCCUUUUCCCAACCUUUAAUCUAUUGAUGACUAAUGCCUAUAUUCAACCUUUGCAUUGUAUUUGUGUUAACCAAUCAGCAACAAGCACAUACAGUGGUGCCCCGCAAGACGAAUGCCUCGCAAGACGGAAAAACCGCUAGACGAAAGGGUUUUCCGUUUUGAAGUUGCUUCGCAGGACGAAUUCCCCUAUGGGCUUGCUUCGCAAGACGAAAAUACCUUGCGAGUCUUGAGAUUGUUUUUUCGCUUUUCCCCCUUUAUCUAAUCUGCUAAGCCUUUAAUAGCCUUUAAUAGCCUUUUAGCAGCUAAUCCCCUAAGCCUUUAAGCCUUUAAUAGCCGCUAAACAGCUGAUAGCGCUAAUAGCGCUAAUCCGUCAAUGGGCUUGCUUCGCAAGACGAAAAAACCGCUAGACGAAGACUCUUGCGGAACGGAUUAAUUUCGUCUUGCGAGGCACCACUGUAUGUGGUAAUGCUGUAAUAUUCAAUAAAAGAGACUCACCGAGACCUGCUCGGUAGAUGCCUCCCAUAUGACACUUGCCAUUCGUCUGUCGCUUAUUUCAACCCAACACUAGUCAGCUUCUCCAUUGUUAGGCCAACACACUGCUGAGCUAGGCAAAAAGCACUCCAGCACCAUGAACACCCUUGUCAGCACAGUUGCAGAGCAGCAUUGGAGUGUAUCACUUUCACUUCUGGAUGAAGUGUAGCACCUGCCACACUUCAAAGAGAAGAGAAAGGAGCUUGCCAACACUGGGAGCAUCUCACUGCCCCCAAAACUGAGGCUGAGUCAAAUAAUAAUAAUAAUAAUACCCUGCCCUCCCCAGCCAGAGCCAGGCUCAGGGCAGCUAACACCAGUAAAAUUACAUUACAACUAUAAUAGGGGGAAAAAACAACCAACUUAAAAUGCAGGUUAAAAUGCAAUUUAAAAUGCAGCCUCAUUUUAAAAGUAGUACAUAGAUCAAAACCAUAAGGGGAGGGAAAACAUAAGGGUCAGACUGAGUCCAAACCAAAGGCCAGGCGGAACAGCUCUGUCUUGCAGGCCCUGCGGAAAGAUGUCAAGUCCCGCAGGGCCCUAGUCUCUUGUGACAGAGCGUUCCACCAAGUCGGGGCCAGUACUGAAAAGGCCCUGGCCCUAGUUGAGACCAAUCUAACCCCCUUGUGACUUGGGACCUCCAAAGUGUUGCCCUUUGUGGACCUUAAGGGACAGGCCUCCCCAAAGUUAUGCCCAGCCAAGUCUUGUGAGAUGUCACCAAGUGUUAUAAGCAUCACAAGCUUUUUCCACACAUUUUUGUGAGAUUUUGCUAAGUCUCACGAGACUUGGUGCACAGUAAAGCUGGCAGCGGUGUUGGGGGGGGGCUGCAGGUCUCUGCCUCACAUAGUGAAAUGGCUUGGAUGAGCCCUGUAUCACCCUUUUGCAGCUGUCUGCACUCAACAUGUGGAUGUCAAGGGAUGCUGUGGGGAAGGAAUGAGGAGUUGGGAAUAGGGCAACAGUUCAGAGUCACUUCUUGCACACAACACAUGGUGGCGGGGAGCUAAUUUCUUUGCCAAAAAAAAAUUGUGGCACUUUUUAAUGGUGACAUCCAGGAAUGCAAGUCAUUUUCUGAGUAGAGGUAGGAGCCUAAUUAAAGAUGCAAUUGAUGACUUCUCAGUUUUUGAUAUAAAUUUAUCAACAGACGCUUCUACUUGAAGGGCCAUACUAAAAAGCAAAAGUUAGAUUGCUGGCAUGGCAUGCACACUAUCCCAUUAAAGGAACUUGUUUCAUUUGCUCAGCCUGCAAGAAAACUAAUUAAGUCAAAUGCAGUUCCAACCACAUCAUCUGAUCUGUAAACAAAAUUGAGGGCUACAAAUCGAGAGUAGGCUUCAGAGUAGCACAGAAGAAGAAAGAACACCCCCCCGUGUGUGUGUGUGUGUGUGUGUGUGUGUGUGUGUGUGUUUGUGCAGUGUGGGAGAACAGCAGUGCUUCAGACCAUGUAACAAUUAACUAGAAAAACCAUAGAGUUGUGUGCCUAGGAGGCACCAGAGCAACAUGUGAUCCUGACAAGGCAGCAUCUCCUGUACCCAAAAAAAACCCUUAAGAGAUCAUAGCUUGCCAGAAACAGGGAAGUGAAUGAUGGGAGCUAUAGAACUGUGUAUAAGGCCUGUUGGUCUGUGAUGAAGCAGUGGUGUGAAUGCUGGAGGAAGGUCUUGAGAAAGCUAUUGGGAAGGGUGGAUGUCAUGCUGAGUGUCCUUGACAUUCACCCAAUCAACUGGAAUUCACCACAGAAAGCCUUUCAUAACCAACUACCUCCUUCCAAAAGCAAGUCCAUGCCUAGCAAAGGUGGCUUAACCAAAGCUGCCAGGAAAGACGAAUGCUUUGUUAGAAUUCCUGCUCUAUGAUUGCAGUCAUAGGAUUGUCGUCUUUUGCAUGACGGUAUAUGUUUUGACUCCACAGAGUAGGAAGUGACGGAAACAGGAUGUUUGUGUUACUGUGUUCCGUGAAGUGGGACUAUUGUCCUUUGUUCUUUUUCUCUUUGCUGUCUGAUGCUAGAGAGAGGGAGCCAUGUUGCAGUGCUCCGUGUGUGUUUAUAUGUAAAUAAAGUAGAUUAGCCAACAUGCUGAGUUCUGUCACGCGCAUGAUGCGCAAACUCUGCGGAUCUCUAAGUGUGCCGGUGUCUGUAGGCAUCGGUCACUGUGAUGUUCGGGAUGAAGAAAGAUUUUGAAGCUCCCAAACAAAAGACCAGGAGGGAGAGAACAUGCCAGUCGGGCAUGUGUCUCUGCCAGGGUCCUACUCGAGUGUAGGCUGAACCCCUGACAUGCUUGACACCAUUUCUAGCUCAAGAUUUAGAGGAAAGAGAGGGAGAACUAGUUCCCCAAUACAUUUUUUCUUUUCUUUCUUUGUUGGUAAGAUGGAGGUGUUUUAAAAUAGAUUAGAUUCAGAAAGUACAGGGAGGGAGAGAGAUGGCCUGAAAGCGUUAAUACUGCUGUUACAGUACAUUAAAAAAUAAAUAAAUGCAAAAGUGAGUGGAUCACAUUACAAAACAGGACUGGGAGCAAUACCCUUUGACAAUAAUACAGAACACCAUUUCAUAUACUACCAAGAACAAUUACAGGAUGUCAUCUCGUCUUCUUUUCUUCAUUUAAAACAAUAGACCACCAAAGAGCCCACUCAUUAGAAACACUGCUUCAAAUGUCAGCUGUUCAACAGGGACUCAUUAUAACAUGUAAUGUUAUCAUUACACUGUUUAUUUUUGCUCUGAUUCAAUCACUUGUUGGCUAGGCAAGGUUCUUGGUGGAUCUGCAAGCAUAUUAAUCCUGCUGCUAUUUCCCACACGACACAAGUGGGUCAGGAGCUCGUCCGAAACAGCCAGCAUAAAUGAUGUGCCAUCCUUACGGUAAUGAUAGAUUCCUGGAUUCCCUUGUUGUUUGGGGGUGGGGUUUUUUGGGGGGGGCUUUCAAUAUAAUUCCUUAUGUUAUUUAAAGAGCGCAGAAACACACACACACACACACACACACACACACACACAGACCAUUUUAAAAGGUUUUAAUAAAAGUUUUCCAAAGACCCACCCCCAACUUUAUUUAUUUAUUUGAGUGGUGAACAACACCCAAAGAAGCAAGAAUGAUAAUAAUUAAAGAAUCAAGCUCCCUCCCAUCCCCUUUGUGAGAGUUUUGCAUUUCGCGUACACCGAGGAGCUCACAAACUAAUGAGAAACACAAAGGAGGGGAAGGGGAAAAGAGGUGUGAGAGGAGAACAGGUUCUCAGUUACACUUAUAGAUUCUGCCUGUUUAGGAAGGCCAUUAGGGAGAAGCAUAAGUACCACUCACCUGGUGGAGAGAGAGGUCCACUGGUGGGGUGGCAUGCAAUGAGAACCUGCCAUAAGGAUCUGCUGGUGGUGUCAUGAGCCCUACAAUGCUGUCAGGGCUGAGCAUGAAUUGGCAGCCCCUGUUGAAAGAGGAGGAAGAGGAAGAAGAAAUAGAGGGGUGCAGCUAAAUGGGGGGACUUCGGUUUCUAUCCUGACUUCAGCCAUUUUGGAUGGGGAAUUGGGUGUGCCAGAUCUCCCCCUACCCUUUUCCUGUGGAGUAGAGUGCCUGUCAGGAGUCCCAGUGCCUGUCAGGAGUCUUGAUAACAAAGCAAGCAUAGUUAAUUAAAAAGGAAGAUUUAUUGCAAAAAUAGAGUUCGCCGGACGGCUCUAGCAAGCCGCCAGCCUUAUCAGUCAUGAUGACCCUUCUGAAGACUGCUUCCUAUGAGACCAGAAGCAACUGAACUUUCCCUUCUGACGUUUCAUUUUGCUUCCUGUCUUGGAGCCCUCCCAUUCGCGAGACCUUGGACUGAGAGGGUCAGCUCCCACCUCUUCCCCAUUCUCUGAGGGGCUGUCUCUUAGCUCUUUCCCGCCUGAUAAACUGCUUCCUUCUCUGUUCACGGAAUUUUGCACUUCUUGAGAGCAUUGGCAGGCUUCUGGCUCACUCUCAGUCAUUCCCUUAUCAAUCCACAUUCCAAGGGGCGGGGAGUUUGCACUCGCCAAUGCUCAUCCUGCCUGGCAGUUAACCCUCUCUGUUCCUGGCUGCUUUCUUUGGCUGAUUGACAACCUUCCCUGAGAUCUGGCUGCAAACCAUCCCUGGGAGCUGGCUCAUUCACGACAUUGCCUCAGUGCAGGCUAGAAAGGUCUUGGAGCAGCCAAGUGGGGCAGGUGGGGUCAGAGGCAGCUACAAAUCAACAAGAGCUGCCUUAGAACAAGGUACCACAUUCACAGAGAGUUGGAAGCCGCCUCCAGCAUGGCUGCAUAUUAGAUAGAUGUAUUUAGGAAUUUGGCCUUGCUGAGUACUUAUUAAUCAUUUUGCAGUGAUAUAUUUCCAUUAGAUGUUCUAAUGCAAACCUAGGCUCUGGAGUAUAUCUUCUUCUUUUAAAAAGUAUGUUAAAAAUCUCUCAGGAGAGCUUAAAAUUCAAAAGCGGAGAUAGCAUCACUUACUCAUGUUCUUCACAUCUUCAGAAAUGACACUCUCUAGUUCUUAGUAGCUGCUCCAGGGACUUUGAAGAUUUGCAAAAUGAUAUUGCAAAGAAGAACAUAAUCUAGUCCACUCCUUCUACAAAAGAAACACGAUUCCUUGGAUUUAAAAAUGAUUACAGAUGGGGGAGAUGGGAGGUUAUUGUUUCGUUAUUGUUUUUGUUCGUGUGUAUUUUGUGGUUUUAUCUUGUAUUUUUAUGCUGUGAACCACCCUGAGAUCUGUGGAUGAAAGGCAGUAUACAAAUUUAAUUAAUAAUAAUAACAAUAAACACAACAAGCACACACAUUGUAAGCCUCAAAUAGCUGAUAUCAUUCCUAUUUAUGAAAUUAAUAUAUUGUUUCCAGUUGCCUGCAGUCUACAAACAUGCUGUAUGUAGGCUGAUAAAAGCCUUCUCUUUGAGGUAGAGCUGAAUCACAGAGGGGCUUUCUUACCUUUAUCCAGAGAAAAUGUUAGCGCUCUGCCACAUUGUGUGCAAUAUACUGUAGUGUUAUCUCCAAAUGCCUCUAAAUACCGGCUGCUCAACAGUGGUGAGAGAAGUCUAUUGCCCUAGCUUUUUGCAUAUGCAGAGGCAUCUCAUUGGCCAAUGUGGAAAACAAGACACUGCAGUAGAUGGACCUUUCAACCAUUGCAACAGAUUGCAAAAAAAACAACAACCCCAAAACAAAACAAAAAGACACAAUAUGGGGGGGGGGGGAUACUCCAUUGAUAACCACUUUACUAUUUAAUUCAUGGUAUCCCCACUGGAACCAUCCUUGACCAAACUAAACUUUUAAUAACAGGCAUGGUAUAAGUCUCCAAAAAAAAUUAAUAUGAAAAGCAGUUUCAGGAAGAUGAUAAUCUGGUUGGAGGAGGUGCUGCCUCACUCUUUCUCCACAUGUUUGUCCCCCACCAGAGCAAAGUACUUGCACAGCAACGGGGGGAGGGUUAAACAACAAUUUUGCUGUUCCUCUCUCAGAUCUGCAACCCGUCAGGGCUACAUUACACUAAAAAUAAAAGAGAAUAGCGCCCAUCAGGAGACCGUUACACAAAGCUGCCUUGCGACCUCAAGUUUGGCUCCUAAUCAAGAGCUGAUUGGGAAUGUAAUUUGGCUUUAAGUCAGCCUGCCCUCUUUCUCGUAUGGUGUGUAAGUUCAGCACUGCAUGUUAACUGAAAAAUCUUCUCUGCAGCUGAUCUUCCUUUAUUUAAUGUCACCACUCUUCAUCAAUUCCAUUCUUUUAAAAUAGAUGCAAUUAAAUAUAAGGCUCCCAAAGUCAUUUUCUGAACAUGGGGCUUGUAAAAAUUAUUUCCACACAGCGUCACUUGUUUCCUUCACCUUUUUUUAUACAGUGUAUCUGAGUGAAAAGAAAAAAUAGUGCCAUGUCUAGAUAAAUUUGUCCUUUUGACAUUUUGCUUAGGGCAAAAGCAAUUCAUGUUUCUUUGUUGCAGGCUCCUUCAGAUCACUGGAGGCCUGACUCAAACGUCCAACACAUUUUCAAUACAGCAGUCCUUUUUCGUGUGUGUGUGUGUGUGUAGCUGUAAAUAUAAAGGAAAUGAGGAAAUGGAUACUAGGCAGAAAAAUGAUUCUUUAGGCAGUGUAAAGGGAACAAGAGCUACCCUCAUCUAGACAUGAAUACUAAAGCUCUGAUAGCAAUGAUCUGGCCUGAGAUUUCUAAGCACAGUGCUUUCAGAAUAAAGGAACCAUCUUUCAUCACAGUCCCAAAUAUAGCAGGCUGCAAGCUUUAAUCCAUUAAUCAGCAUGGUUAAUCAAUUCAAAGGUACUCCGUGCAAUCAGAGUCCACCCCAAUAACUCACACAUCACACAGAAGUUUUUGUUUAAGAUUUUUGGCAUAAUUUUGGCCACAACUUUAUUAAAAUACAAAUUUGUGAGUGGUUGCGUAGGCAUUGGUUGCGACUAUCUGCCCCCACCAUGGGGGACAGACUGGCAUUCCGCACGAUGUGAAAGUCAGAAUAGGGGAAUACACUUGGGGGUUACGCGGAGCAGGGAACCUGCCCUCACCCCAAAUGCAACCAGGAGCUCAUUGCUAUGGCCCGAGCCCCCUUGACAGAGUGGACAAGCAAUAGUUAGCUCCCAAUUCCUUUAACGGAAUCCCUUGCAGCAGCAGCAUUAGAGGGGCAGGCACAGCCAAUCCAUGCCCCUCAACCAACCAAACCAUAAACCAAUGCCCAACCGCGAACCUUACAAGUUGUGACGAUUUGCUACGCAGUAGGCAAAAACCAAAUGGCCCCAGCCAAUCAGCCAGAUGGACAAAAUUCCUACCAGGCCCCCGCUCCAAAGCAGACGACCCCAUGACAGGCAUAGCAAGGUCACAGCGAACAACCCUAUUCUAGGGAGGGAGGGACGGGCAAUCCGAUGCACGGGCGAAAGAGGAAGCCCUAGCCUCGUGCAAGGAGUUUUACUAUUUCUGGCUGUCAAUCAAUAAAUGGCAACAUUAACUUCUUCCCAACAACAAGGGACGCCCCAAUCGCAUCAGUGGCCAACGAUCAAUUAGCCCGCCCCCCAACUUUGGAGUGUCCUGGCGGCCCCCACCGCAACACGUGCUCUCCAUGAAGGAGAACACGCUAUGCCGAAGGUCAUGUCUUUUAUUGUCUUUAAACAGGGAUGGACAAAUCUAUUUCUGCUCUGUCCCAUUUCUCUUCUGUCCCAUUUCCGCAUGAAUCUGUGAUUCUUCUUUUUUAAAAAGACAUACAUAUUUUAACAAGCAUAUUUUAGAAUAUAUAUGUUGCUCUUAAAAUGAUGGUGAUGAUGAUUCUUUAUUAAAUUUCUGUACUGCCCUUCGUCUAAAGAUCAUAUGGCGGUUUACAAUAUAAAAACAUACCAUAGUAGCAAAUGAAAACAAUACUGCCCCACAGUUUAAAAGGCCGUAGAUUGUGUUAAUUAGCCUUAUAGAGUUUGAACUGCUGAGAAUUGCACCAAAAUGUCUGGGGAAGUGCGAUGUCUGGUGGAUAAUACAGGUAUGAACCAACCACUAGAUUUGAUCUUAAUCACAUCUUGGACUACAGCAAUGUGCUCUAUGCAGGGCUACCUUUGAAGGCGACUCAGAAACUACAGUGGUACCUCUGGUUGAGAACUUAAUUUGUUCUGGAGGUCCGUUCUUAACCUGAAACUGUUCUUAAUGUGAGGUACACUUUAGCAAAUGGGACCUCCCGCUGCCGCCGUGCGAUUUAUGUUCUCAUCCCGAGGUAACGUUCUUAACCUGAGGUACUACUGCCGGGUUAGCAGAGUCUGUAACCUGAAGCGUUUGUAACCCGAAGCAUUUGUAAACUGAGGUACCACUGUACAACUAAUCCAGCAGCUGUCAGACUGGUGACUGGGAGCGGUCACCGGGGUCGUAUAACACUGGUCUUAAAAGAUCUACAUUGGCUCUCAGUAUGUUUCUGAGCGCAAUUCAAACUGUUGGUGCUGACCAUUAAAGCCCUAAAUGACUUCCGCCCUGUGUACCUGAAAGAGAGUCUCCAUCACCAUCGUUCAGCCUGGACACUGAGGUCCAGCUCCGAGGGCCUUCUGGCAGUUCCCUCACUGUGAAAAGUGCAGUUACAGGGAACCAGGCAGAGGGCCUUCUCAGUAGUCGCGCCCAUCCUGUUAAAUGCCUUCCCAUCAGAUGCCAAGGAAAUAAACAACUAUAGGACUUUUAGAAGACAUCUGAAGGCAGUCCUGUAUGGGGAAGUUUUUAAUGUUUGAUGUUUUACUGUGGUUUUAUAAUUUCUUGGAUGCUGCCUAGAAUGGCUGGGGCUACCCAGUCAGAUGGGCAGCAUAUGCAAAAUAAAUUAUAGUUAUAUUUGUAUUCGUAUUAGUAUUAUCAGUCUCUGUAGCUGUUGGGAGCACAGGUUUAUCUAUUAUGGAACCACUUGAUAUCUUUCCAAUUGAAUGGUUAUUCAGGACUGCAUUACAUCUGUUAAAAAUGAAGCUCUGCUCUCCCCUCCCCAGUAAUAUGGAGUUUCCUUUAAUGAAUGUACAUCUUUUCUGGGUUUUGCUAAAUAGUAUAGCCAUUUUGCUUGAUGAAAUGUAUUUUCAGGCAGGCAGCAGCUCAAUUAACAAGAAUAAUAAAGUUGGUUGGUCAUCUUUCAGUGAGCACAACCCAUUUAAAAGACCUACAGCUAUUAAGUAGCCUCUGUGAUUGUCCACUCGCCAUUGAUCACUAUGGAAGGAACCUGUGCAUGCUAAUUGCUAACUAGGAAAGCAAAAAAAUAAAUUAAAAAUAAAAAACCCUUCUGUCAACCAAGUAUUCUCUCCUUUAAUUCAGACCUAGACAAAUAGACCAUUUAUUCUUUGACAAUGUAAUUUCAAGAAAAUAUGCGGCCAGCAGACUGUACAUUUUCCAUGUUCACCUGAAGGGAUCUGCAAAAUGCAAGACCAGUAAAGACCACAGAUUUACAUCUCUGCCCACCCUUGAAAUGGUUUGCUAGGGUUGCAAUGCCAUCCUGAUAAAUAAUGCAGGUUGCCUGCAGUCAUCCUGUUUGCUCCUUGACAGCUGAAAAGCCAGUCGGCAACUCUGUCAGUCUUGGCCUUUUUCAGCAGUUGGUGUUUGAGCGCUGGCAGGCAAAGAAGUAUGUGAGCUUUCGGACUUGCCUCUGUUGAGAGAAUAAACAAACAUCAGGCAGCCAAUGCUCUGCCACUCAGAUGGCAGGUAGCCAAUAGGAAAGUAGCUGGCAGUUACUUGUUGAGCAACUGAUAAACAACAUGGUCCUCCACUAGCAUCUCUUUCUUUUCUAGCUGCCUGGCUAUACCUUAGGAAAUGGCUUCAUCAACACUAAAAGCAGGCUUUCCAAACAGUAGAUGAAAUUCAGUAAUGUUGGAGAAGGCUUCCAACCCUGCAAUGGGUCCCUUCCUCCCCACUGAAGCCUCCCACACACCCCAAAAACUUGCUCUCAAGAGUCCGAGUGGGUUUGAGAGGGGUACAAGAGGCCGCAGGGAGAAGGAAAGGAAGGUGAAGUCUUGUUUCACUCACAGAAGUCCAUUCCACUCAUUGGCUAUCACCCAGGGUUUUAUCCAUUCUUCCCAUUCUCAGUCCUUGGUGCUCCACACUCCUUUAUCCCACCCAAUGUUCUGCACCUUGACAAUCCUAAAUCAUUCCAGGUGGUUCAGCCUGAGGCAAUCCAGGGCUGUCUUGCAUCCGACUCACCUAAAGUCCUCCUGAAUUGGUGUGAUUCAGUCCAGGAUUUGGGCUUGGGCUAAACCCUGUGCACAGCCCUAGUAAAAAGAGCCAGUCUCUGAGAUGCUCGGAGGGAUAAGGAUGGUUACAGGUGAAUCCAAAGCUGUGACAAGGAAAUCCUGCUAUUAAAAGAAACCUCUGUACUUCCCCUUAGAAAUAAGUACCAUUUUGACUACAUGGCAGUUAUCCUCCUGAGGGUCAUUUUACACUGAGCAAGUAAGUAUGCUAAAAACAGUAGGUAGAUAUGAAUGGGUAAUUAAAAACCCACAAACUACUAUUUUAUAGUAGGUAAUAUUAAUAAAGCACCUUUCAUUGAAAAAUUGCCUUUAUGUCCAGGAUUUGAAAUCAAACUAAUGGGCUGUUCAAGCACCUUCCACAUAUUAUUCUCUUGUGAACGACCCCCUCAACAGCUGGAGUUCAAAUCAUUUGCUUAAUCAUUCCCAGUGUUAUUCUUCUCCCAUCUCCCAUUCUUUAGAUUGCUCUUUCAAUGCUAAAAUCAGGUGCCUUUUCCUAACCAGGCAGCAGAAUUUCUGGGAAAUAUUUCUUAAAACUGUUCAAAGAAGAAAGGGCACGCAGCCUUAAUAAGCAGGUGGUACCAAAUCCUGGGUGGGUGGGAAGAAAGUGGGUUUUGAGCACAUCAACAAGUUGCAUUGUGUUUUGUUUGUGUUUUGUUGAGCUCUUCUACUUGAGGUAAUAGUUAUCUAUACUGUAGCUAUAUUGUUUGUUUUUAUCCUUUAUAUUUAUUUCUCUGUAUCAAGAAUGCAUUGGCCAACCUCCACAGAAUUUUAGGCCUCUCUCAAUAUCAGCAGCGCUGGAUAGAAUUUGGCUGUUAGUUUUAUCUUUGACACUUAGCAGGGAAUACAUUUUACGGUCUGUCACAUGGCUCAUUUUAUCUUUGACAAUCUUUGUAACAUGGCCAGGUAAAACACCCUGCCCCCAUAUGGAGAGCAAGGUGAAUACCAAUCACAUAGCAAGCCCAGGCGAUCCUGUUCAUAGCACUAUUUGCAGAUGAUGAAAAGACAGUAUCAUUUACAAUGUUCUAUUGACCUGGUACACUGUGAAAGUAACUCUUGAAGGAAGAGCUCAGAGGCCAGAACCUCAUUAUACUGAGGUAUGCAGAGCAGGUUUCCUCUAUAUUGCAACAUGUUGUGUGUGUAUGUGUGUGUGUUUUAACCAUAGCAUAGCUUUUAGAAGCUUAAAAGUGGCUUUAAAAGGGUCAUGAUUCUCAAACAAUGGUAGCCACAACUGUGAGGUAUAGUUGGAAAAGUCUUCCCUGGCUCAGAUUUUAGUGAGCACAGAGAAGAAUUUGGGGGUAUUUCUCUGAGGUGAACAUAUAAGCAUCACCAGCCCCCUUGCUGUCAAACUGUUAGAGCCAUCAAAAUAUAUUGACUUAAACACAAAUACUAGCCACUAUGCACUGUGCCAAUGAAUUUUUUCUUAUUUCCUAGCAAAUAUAAAGGCAAUGGCCUAUGAUGACUCAUGAUGUGGUAGUUCAUGAAAUCAGUUAUGAAAUGUUGCAUGCGUCCCACAUUGAAAUUGACCGAUGGAAAAUAUCAUUUGAGUCCAAGAAACACAUUGCCUCUUAUUAGAUCCCAAACCCUAAGAGAACUUGUUCUGAGUUCCUGUCUUGAUUAAAGAGGGAGCUGUGUUCUCCAACUGGGAUUACCUCCUCAAGAGAGCUUGCCAAGCUUGCUUUGCUCAGCUGGGACAUUCCUGUGAGAAACUAUGACAAGGAGGGACAGCUGCAAUUUUGCAGGAGAAGAUUGACUUCUCCUCUUUCCUGACAGGCCUCUCCUCUUUACUGCCCCUGAAGCAGCACUACAGAGGAUUGGCUCCUCCCAUAUAACAGCUAGUAAACAAGAGGAUUUGUUUGGGUGGUGCUGGUCACUACUCCUUCAUGAAUGGCAUCCCUUGCAUGCAUAGAAGCUCCUCAUGAAGGAGCAGGACCCUGUAGGAUUGGAUCCUUCCAUUUGCCAGCUGGUAAGUGAAAGAAUCUGAUCAUGUGUGGUGCUGGUGCACCCUACCAUACUGCUUUUUAAAACCCCAUUUCUACCAUGUUUUUAAUAGGGUAUUUUAGACCCUUAAAAAAUGCCUAGCCCUGCCCCUGAAUUGCUUUUGCUAUGGAUCCAGGUUGGGGCAGAUUGUCCCAAGGAUGGCAAAGUGUCUGUAGCACAAAUCUAUGGGCCAAACUGUGGUUGAGGAGACAGGGUUUUUAAUUAGAAACUACCUAAUUCACACAUCUCAAAUCAAUAUGUGAACAAAACACAGCUAUUUUUUUUGAAAUUCACACUUCCUUGCUCUCCAGGGAACUGAUGCAGUUUUCCAACCAACCAGAGAUUCAAAAAAUACAUAUGUUAUGGAAAAUGUGCAGUAAAAUGCAUGUUGUUUUGUUGUUGUUUUGUUGUUUAGUCGUGUCCGACUCUUUGUGACCCCAUGGACCAGAGUACACCAGGCACUCCUGUCUUCCACUGCCUCCUGCAGUUUGGUCAAACUCAUGUUAGUAGGAGCCUCAGCUUCAGGACCUGUCCUUCCAGUGAGCACUCAGGGCUGAUUUCCUUCAGAAUGGAGAGGUUUGAUCUUCUUGCAGUCCAUGGGACUCUCAAGAGUCUCCUCCAGCACCAUAAUUCAAAAGCAUCAAUUCUUCGGCGAUCAGCCUUCUUUAUGGUCCAGCUCUCACUUCCAUACAUCACUACUGGGAAAACCAUAGCUUUAACUAUAAGGACCUUUGUCAGCAAGGUGAUGUCUCUGCUUUUUAAGAUGCUGUCUAGGUUUGCCAUCGCUUUUCUCCCAAGAAACAGGCGUCUUUUAAUUUCGUGACUGCUGUCACAAUCUGCAGUGAUCACGGAGCCCAAGAAAGUAAAAUCCCUCACUGCCUCUAUUUCUUCCCCUUCUAUUUGGCAGGAGGUGAUGGAACCAGUGGCCAUGAUCUUAGUUUUUUUGAUGUUGAGCUUCAGACCAUAUUUUGCGCUCUCCUCUUUCACCCUCACUAAUUCCUCCUCACUUUCUGCCAUCAAAGUUGUGUCAUCUGCAUAUCUGAGGUUGUUGAUAUUUCUUCCGACAAUCUUAAUUCCGGUUUGGGAUUCAUCCAGUCCAGCCUUUCGCAUGAUGAAUUCUGCAUAUAUUUUAAAUAAGCAGAGAUACAAUAUACAUCCUUGUCGUACACCUUUCCCAGUUUUGAACCAAUCAGUUGUUCCAUAUUCAGCUCUAACUGUAGCUUCCUGUCCCACGUAGAGAUUUCUCAGGAGACAGAUGAGGUAAUCAGGCACUCCCAUUUCUUUAAGAACUUGCCACAGUUUGCUGUGGUUGACACAGUCAAGGGCUUUUGCAUAGUCAAUGAAGCAGAAGUAGAUGUUUUUCUGGAACUCUCUAGUUUCUCCAUAAUCCAGCGCAUGUUUGCAAUUUGGUCUCUGGUUCCUCUGCCUCUUCUAAAUCCAGCUUGCACUUCUGGGAGUUCUGGUCCACAUACUGCUUGAGCCUGCCUUGUAGAAUUUUAAGCAUAUAUUAGUUAAAUUAAUAUACCUUGGAAGUUGAAUCCGUUCUGGAAGUCCGUUCGAUUUCCAAAACAUUCCAAAACAAUCAGAAGCCGCAGAAACCCUGUCAGAUGCUUGGCUUCCCAAAGAAUGUUUGAAAACAGUCACUUCCAGGUUUCAAUUGUUUGGGAGCCAAAACAUUCAAGAACUAGGCUGUUCAACUUCCAAGGUACGACUGUACAAAAAAAAUGCAUUGUGUUAAGGAAAAUAGCAAAAAAAAAAAGUGCAGUUCAUCAAAACUGCAUACAAUGCUAUGUUUAUUAGGAGAAAAUUGCACUAAAUUGCUGUUGAAAUGGCAUGAUGAUUUUUUAAAAAAAUAAUGAUUACAGAACAGUUUGAAAUUGGGAAAAUGAGAAAUGGAGAGAAACCAAAGUGGACAGAGUCAUCCAUUCCUAUUCCUAAACGAAGAAUUCUGUAAUGAUGACUCAAUAUACCUGCUAGCAAAGUUUCUAUCUUUUACUUCUGAGUUUUAAAAGAGUACUUGAGAUGCCCUGGGAAAUAUUAGAUUCCUUAUUCCCAUGGCAUCUUCUGCACUGCUUCCCUCUCCAGUUUUUAUAUUAACUGGUAUAUUUUAAAUGGAAGCAGCUGACUUUUGCAAUGAGGCUAUUCACAAAGUAAAUUAAAUACUGGAUUCCAGCUCUUACUCCAUCCCCUUUGCUGCUUGAGGACGUCACCUCUGUAACCAGGUACAAGCAUUUUCCCUGACUGGAGACCUUAAACGUUUAUUUGGUGUAUCAAUUUUGUUAGUUAAUUCACUUUCUCCCUCUCGCUCUCUCUUUUAUGCACAAGGACUCUCAGCUCAGGUAGAAAGACGAGGAAAGAAUUAACUUUGGAUUUACCACCCACUCAGGUCACUUUACAAGCUAUUUAGUUUACGUGCUUUCCUCUGGUUCCCUCCAGCGAGUCCCAAAACAGCCGAGGAGAUUAGAAGAAACUGAGAUCCUUAUUUGUUCCACAAUUAUAUUAUAUUAUAUUUUUUUGCUUUGGACUGCAUUUUUUAAUAUCAGUUCUCUCCUGAGUGGUGUCCUUAGCUUAAUCCUUCUCAGUUACUACUACAAAGUUGCUUUUGUUGUUUGUAAUUACUAUCUUAUUGCUCCGCCAUUGUUGAUGAAGAACAAAAUAUUUAUUUUAAGAGGGUCUAAUCGGUUGGCCUAUCAAGAGUUUUGAGCAACACAAACAAAGGCAAGGCUAUGCCACUGAUGAUGUUCACUGUGGGUGAAACAGGAUCCAUUCUUUCUCCCAGACUCUCCCACCUGUCCUGUGAGCCUUCCAACCUUCCAACUACCUUUCCCAGUGUGGUUGGUGCAGAUUCAAUGCAGACAGGAAGCCAGGGAUGAGAGACAUGGGGAGGAUGAAGAGAGCUUGUCAAGCUUUCUCUGUCCCUCAUCAAGCUCACAAUUUAUUAAUUAGUCACCAUGAGGGAUCAAUAAGCACUUGAAGGGAAAGAUAUAUACAUAGAAUAAGUAAAAUUCAGAUUUCUCAUUUUAGAAAAGCAGCAGAUUUCUCUAAAGUACCUAUAAAGUACCUAUAGACAGCAUCUUAAAAAGCAGAGACAUCACCUUGCCAACAAAGGUCCGUAUAGUUAAAGCUAUGGUUUCCCCAGUAGUGAUGUAUGGAAGUGAGAGCUGGACCAUAAAGAAGGCUGAUCACCGAAGAAUUGAUGCUUUUGAACUAUGGUGCUGGAGGAGACUCUUGAGAGUCCCAUGGACUGCAAGAAGAUCAAACUUAUCCAUUCUUAAGGAAAUCAGCCCUGAGUGCUCACUGGAAGGACAGAUCGUGAAGCUGAGGCUCCAAUACUUUGGCCACCUCAUGAGAAGAGAAGACUCCCUGGAAAAGACGCUGAUGUUGGGAAAGAUUGAAGGCACAAGGAGAAGGGGACGACAGACGACAAGAUGGUUGGACAGUGUUCUCGAAGCUACAGACAUGAGUCUGACCAAACUGUGGGAGGCAGUGGAAGACAGGAGUGCCUGGCGUGCUCUGGUCCAUGGGGUCACGAAGAGUCAGACAUGACUAAACGACUAAGCAAUAACAACACAGAUAAAACCUGGACAAACCUAGUGGGCCAUGUCUUUAUCCUGAUCAGAAGAUGCUAAUGGUGACCUGAGGUUCUUGCUCCUGCUUUGUUCCCAUGCUGUAGCCGCUAGAGAUCUUGCCUAUUAUUUUAUUUAAUAUGAUUUUCAAAGGGACUUACAAGUAACAGGUAAUAAUUAUCUGUCACAUGCACAUGCACACACAUACACCAGCAGCCUUUAGAUCUGGCUGGUGGAUGGUACCAAAGCAUAUUCCCCUUCAGUGCCAAAGUCCCAGGGCAACUGGUGUUUUGAGUUCCAACCCGGAGGUGGAAGCCAGCUCUCUGCAGCUGCUCUUUUUUCUGGCCAAUGGAUGAGGCCAGGUUGGUCUCCCCCUUGCUGUGAUGUUCUCCAGAGCAAAGAGAUUUACCAGUCAGUGCUGCCUGAAGGCAGAAAGUCUGAAAGUCACUGCUUUAUGGAGAUGAGGGUGAGGCCUCAGUGACAACCAAGGAAUAUAUUUCAUUUCCUCAAUUGCAUUAUAUUGAAUGGAACAUAGACAUUGAUCCGGUGAUUUCAGAGUCUCUGUGAAUAAACAAAAUAUCUCAACCUGGAGGUCCACUUCACCUGUUUCUUGUUCUUUUGAAAGAAGAACAAGUUGAAGUCUAGGACAGUCCAGUCAAAGGUCUAGGACAGUCCAGUCAAAGGCAACUAUGGGGAUGCUGCGCUCAUCUCUCUUUCAGGCCAAGGGAGCCGGCGUCUGUCCACAGACAGCAUUCCAGGUCAUGUGGCCAGCAUGAAUAACCACUUCUGGUGCAACAGGACACUGUGGCGGAAGCCAGAGCGCACGGAAAUGCCGUUUACCUUCCUGCUGCAGUAGUACCUAUUUAUCUACUUGUACUGGCAUGCUUUCGAAUUGCUAGGUUGGCAGGAGCUGGGACAGAGCAACGGGAGCUCCCUCUGUCCUGGGGAUUUGAACCACUGACCUAGAGAGCACCAGGUUGGUGAAGGCAGACUUAAAAAGACAUGCCAGAACCCUGUUUGUGCAUUAAGGUAUAUUUCCCCUGAACUGGAUUGCAUUUGAUUUUAAGUGAACAAGAAAAGCAAUGCUGAUUCUAAAUGAAACAGACACAAUAAUCUACUGGCAUAGAUUCUUUUGAAAAAAUAUUGGCUCUUGGCAAGCAAGGGGGUUGACUGCCUUACUGCAUUUGGCCUCGGGUUAUCCGUCUUAGGCAGGGAGUUUGAAAUGAAACCAGACAUCAAGCCUGGAUUUAAUAAAUAAGGGAGGCAAGAAGGUCACACUUGAGUUCAGGACAGCAUAAUUACCUCCCACAGGAUAGUAACGAUUCGAGUCACCCUCUCCAUCAAUGAGGAAUCUACAGGAGAUGCUGAUCUUAUUUAUUAUUCACACACUAUCAUCCUGUAGCCAAUCAUCACAGCCUUGUAGCAUCCUUUACUGUAAAGGCUUAGAGAUAUCAAUAGAGUAGUACUUACACAGUGGCUGCAUUCCAGGGGGAAAAAAUCAGAUGCACACAAGAGGGGAAACUGCCAAGGUAACCCCUGCUUUGACGUUUUCAGUGAAGCAUCUCCCAUUGCCUUAGAGGCACAAUACCGGUUUAGCUUUAAAUGUGCAAUGUCAUGUGACACGUAAUGGGAGCGGAGGAGAACCAAGCUUGCACGAUUCUCUUCUGAAUUUUGGCUAAUGACACUGGGAAAUAUUUUCCCCGUCCAUUCCCCCCCCCCCAUGUUUCCAUCCACUUAGAUGUACAUUUUGACAUUAUACAAGAAGAAGAAGAAGAAGAAGAAGAAGAAGAAGAAGAAGAAGAGGAGGAGGAGGAGUUGGGAUUUGAUAUCCUGCUUUAUCACUACCCGAAGGAGUCUCAAAGCGGCUAACAUUCUCCUUUCCCUUCCUCCCCCACAACAAACACUCUGUGAGGUGAGUGGGGCUGAGAGACUUCAGAGAAGUGUGACUAGCCCAAGGUCACGCAGCAGCUGAAUGUGGAGGAGCGGAGAUGCGAACCCGGUUCCCCAGAUUACGAGUCUACCACUCUGAACCACUACACCACACAAGCUCAUUUCACAGGUGUAUUGACGUGACUGCAGAAGGAAAAUGGAUCUUGCACCAUAAACGAAUAAAUAAGCAAGCAAGCAAGUGCCCCAUCUCUAAGUCCUCAUGUUUCAAUGAAAUGGAAACUUUCACACUUUGGGGGUCAUUUUAUAGCAGGGAUGGAGAACCUGUGACCAACAGAUGUUGUUGCACUUCAACGCCUAUCAACCUCAGCUAAUAUGGCCAAUAGACAAGGAUGAUGGGGCUGAGGGUCCAACAACAUCUCAACACUUCUCCAGCCUGACUUUAAAAUUUUACAUUUCAUAUUUUUUUAAUUAUUCUGCUCCACAUUUGCAUGGCUUGCUAUUGCAUAUUGAAGAAAUAUUCAUCUGUAAUCAAAUGUAUAAAUAAAAUAAUAAUCAUAAUAAUAAUUUAUUAUUUAUACCCCGCCCACCUGGCUGGGUUUCCCCAGCCACUCUGUGUGGCUUCCAGUGAAAUAUUAAAAUACAAUGAUUCAUCAAAUAUUAAAAGCUUCCCUAAACAAGGCUGCUUUCAGAUGUCUUCUAAAAGUCAGAUAGUUGUUUAUUUCUUUGACAUCUGGUGGGAGGGCGUUCCACAGGGCGAGUGCCACUACCGAGAAGGCCCUCUGCCUGGUUCCCUGUGACUUUGCUUCUCGCAGUGAGGGAACCGCCAGAAGGCCCUCGGCGCUGGACCUCAUUGUCCGGGCAGAAUGAUGGGGGUGGAGACGCUCCUUCAGGUAUACUGGGUCAAGGCCAAUAUCUGAAGGAGGGAAAAUCUCAGAGCUCAAGCCAGCUGAUAAAAGGAGCGAAUGAGCCUCUACAGCUGUGAUCAUAUAUUAGACUCCAUCAGCACAUGGAACUGCAAAGCAGGGGGAACCACCAACUGGCAAUGGAUUCUGUGUUCAGGAUAUUAACUUCUCCUGAAAAUGUGCUUAUUUAUUUCCUGAUCUUAUACCCUGCCUUUCAUCAUAAAACAAUCCCAAGGCAGGUCACAUCAUAGUAUACAACUGAAUCAAAACACAUUAGAGAAUCAAACCAGAUUAAAAAUUGUAAUAUAAUGUUCAACAAACAAGUCCCAUUUGGGUGGACAGGCCCACUGCUAUUCAGAAAGCCUGGAAGAAUAGGGACAUUGGUGGUGAAUGCAGAAAAACAAACAAACAGUGGACAACAUUGGCAUUGACCUAAUGUUUUCGUAUUCAACAGCUAGGGUGCCAUCAUAAAGAAGGCCUAUUGUUGAGUCCAGGCAAAUAUCAAAAGAACUCCUGGCGGAUUUGAAGCCAUGGUCUGGAUGGCACAGAGAGAGGCUCUCCUUCAGUUAGCUAGGUCCUAAGUUGUUUAGAGCCUUACACCAUAACACCAAAUGCUUUCCCCCCUAAUUAAUUUGUGGCUCUGUUUAUGCAGAGUCAAGGAAUCUACAGUGGGAGCAAGAUGUUUAUAAAACUGGGGAAAAUCCACAUGGGGCUUUUGCAUUUCAUUAAUGAGCCAAAAUCUUGUGCACCAAGAAUUCAAGCACUGAUGAUAAUUUAAAAUACAGUGGUACCUCGGGUUAUGAACUUAAUUUGUUCCAGAGGACCAUUCUUAACCUGAAACCGUUCUUAAUCUGAGGCGUGCUUUCACUAAUGGGGCCUCUUGCUGCCACCGCACUGCCAGCGUGCGAUUUCCGUUCUCAUCCUGGGGCAAAGUUUGUAACCCAAGGUACUACUUCUGAGUUAGCGGAGUUUGUAACCCGAAGUGUUUAUAACCCAAGGUACCGCUGUAAAUGUCUGUUAUCAUAUAAACAAUUGGACACACCCACUUUUACAAGUUAGUCAUCCCCAGUUUGCAGGCCCAGACAUGUUGAUCAGCCCCCAAAACGUUAGCCACUCUUGGUAGAAAUGUUAUUGUGCAAAUGCUAUCAUAUAAAUGUAAAGUGCAACUUUUUUAUUAAAAAAAUUAGAAAUUUAUUACUUUAGACUGUCUUCAGCAAUUAUGUAUGUAGAUUGUGGUUUGAGGACCCAACCCCCGCGAUGUGAAAUAAAUACACAAGGACACGUGAUAUAAGGUUAAUGGGCAAGAAAAGGCCACAACUUUAUUGAUUACAGCAGUGAAAAGGUAUUGGCUUAGGCAUUGGAUGUCUAAAACAAGGGGGUUUAUUCACCAGUAGGUGGAGCCUGUUGAUGCUAAUCCAACGAUAGGCUCUCCCCUGAUGUCACCGGGGGUCGUGCCAUGGCCUCCUGCCAAGCAGGCAUCGGACAGAGUACACGACCGCCAGAUUCCUUUAGCGGAAUACUCAAAAAUUGAAGGCAUAGGCAAUGGCCACACCCAGCCCUUCGACACACCACAACACAUUAUUCCAAUGCCUAACCUACCCACCAAUACCACAAAAAGUUGUGGCGAUUGCUAUGAGGUAGGUGAAAAAACCAAAAAGCCUAAUGCCAAAUGGAAAAAUUCCUACCAGGCCCCCUAGACAACCAGGGCGACCAACCUAAGGUCCAUAGCAAGGCCAAAGAACAAAGACCCUGAGCUAAAAGGGAGUGGAGGGUGAGUGACUCGCAACGAGAGGACGGAGAAGAAUGAGGCCGAGGAGAGGCUGGCACCGCCGCAAAGGCUGCUGAACACGCCCCUCGAAGGCACCUGGUUGGAUGCCUGCCGAGGGGGCGUGGGUGCCAGCCAGGUGAGAGGAGGAGGCAGGGGGCUAAUGCCCCCUGCUAGGGGCGGUGCUCGGGCUCCCGCCCACAACCACUCCCCUCUCUUCCAGGGAGGAGAGUCUUUGCUUAAGGUGUUAUUUCCUUUGCUUCAUAUGUUCUGAAAUCAUCAAAUUAUCUGCAGCUGAAUCUUAAGCUUGCUUUUUCGCUGCUACUCUAGAAUGAGGGCAAUGAAACCCAGGCUUUAUGUGUCCAGAAAGGUUAUUUUCUGCAGUAUAAACUCUCCAGCACUGCCCAAAACACACACAAUAAUUUGGCCUCUGAAACAGAUCUUGACAACUUAUUUUAGCACUCUGCACUGUCUGCCACAUUCACACAAUUUUUCCAGAGUAUUUGCUGAAAAGCUGGGUCAAAAUUAACACUGUCCUAAAACAAAGUACUCUCUCUUUUAAUUAAAUCUGACAGUCACCAACUCAGUUACUAGGCAACCUGUUGGGAUUCAAUUUUGUCUUCCGUUGAAGUGUUAUAAUGUAGCACAUGGGAUAAUACGCAUCAGAAGUGAAAUGCACCUGGAUUUCUUCAAACAGGCAAUUGGAGAAACACCUACGAAUAAGCUAACACUCCUCAAAUAUCAUAUGUUUGCCUAAUGGCAUAAUCAAACCAGUCAUCAGUUCUGCAGGAGGCUUGUUUUUCAGUUUCUUGUGAGGAUGUUACCAAGAGGGAGGGAGGGAGGGAGGGAGGGAGGGAGGAAGGAAGGAAGGAAGGAAGGAAGGAAGGAAGGAAGGAAGGAAGGAAGGAAGGAAGGAAGGCAUCUAUCUGUAGAUGUGUUUAACAAGGUUGCACAUAUACAGUCUCUCAAAUGAAUACGCAGUGUUUUGUGCCUGGACACGUUCCGCAUGUACAGUGGUACCUCAGGUUACAUACGCUUCAGGUUACAUACGCUUCAGGUUACACACUCCGCUAACCCAGAAAUAGUGCUUCAGGUUAAGAACUUUGCUUCAGGAUAAGAACAGAAAUCGGGCUCUGGCGGCACGGCAGCAGCAGGAGGCCCUAUUAGCUAAAGUGCUUCAGGUUAAGAACAGUUUCAGGUUAAGAACGGACCUCCGGAACAAAUUAAGUACUUAACCUGAGGUACCACUGUAUUGCAAAUGUGACAACAGCUUUCUAUAUUUGACCUGUCCAUGUAGUGUAGGAAACUUUUAGAGUGUUUUUUUACAUGGACAGUGCAAUUGCUCCUCACACAGCUGAGCACACAUAGAAGCCCCAGUCAAAGCUUUCUGAGCAAUGGAUGAAAGUCCGAGAGGAGCCCAAAAGCAUGCUGGUGGUCUGUGUUACAUGAAUCACUCUACUCCCUCUAUUUUUUUUUUUUUUGUUUUGUUUCCUGCCUUUUGCCCAUUGCCAGCACUCAAGGCGGUUCACAAAAAGUUUUUUAAAAAAUGUGAUUGAUUGAUUUUUAUAAAAUUUAUAUACCACUUGACUAUAAACUACCUCAAAGUGGAAUUAUUUAAAACAAUUGAAAUGUCCAGAGAGUCAAACCAGCAAUAAAAAUAAAAAUCAGCAUUCUAGAUAUUUGUGUCGGCUUCUCUAAACAAAUAUGUUUUUAGCAGGCACCGGAAUGAGUAUAGCGAAAGAGCCUGCCUUGUGUCAAUAGGCAGGGAGUUCCGCAGUCUAAGUGCCCCUCACUAAGAGAUCAAUAACAAAUGCAGGUAACACACACAAAGCUAAAAACAUUUUAGAAGCUUAUGGUUAUGAAACAAUUAAACUGUCCACCUAUGGAUCAGUUAAUGUGGCUCCCCUCUUUUUUCUUUUUUAGUUAUAAAAAAGUGUAAUAUUAAGGCUGCAAUCCUCCACAUUUUUAGCAAAGGGUAGAUCCAUUGAAAGCAGUGGGGUUUACAAGUCUAUGUUUGUGGGCUAUGCUAGUGGAGAUCAAUGAUUGCUUUUCUGAGUAACAGACGCACAGUUACAGUGACUUAAAAGUCUGGCUAGAACAGCAGGCACUUCAUACCUGAAGCUCUUCUCUUUCACUAAUCUGGUGGUGUUUCCCCAAAUGUUUAUGGUCCUCAUGUCUUCCAAUCUAUCAUUCUUGCAGCUUCCAUGGCAUCUAAUUUAAAAAGGGGACAGAAGUGUGGUAGGUGAACAUUGCACUGUCAUAUUUUUGUGUGGGCUUUUAUUUGGGUCGUUUAAAUAAGUUAUAGCUUUCUCGGUCUGGUAUGCUUUAGGAAAGGCAAUAAAAGACCACUACCACCACCUACUUUUAUUUAAAUCCGCCUGCCUCCCCACCUCAUUAUUGCAACUUAACUUGAUUUGUAAACAUACAAUGGAAAAGAAACAAAUUACUCGGACAAUCUUUCUGUUGCUUUUCACCAUUCGCUCGCGUUAAAUGGCAAAAUGUGAAAGAUGACCACAAAUUGAUAAUGACACCCGCAGAAGCCAACAAUAAGAUAAAACACCCUUUUGCGUGAUCUGGGUGAAAGAGGAGUCUCUGGAAAAUGAAAACACACACUUGUCAUUAGACUGGACUGCUUCACAGAGGAAUGGGGCUGAGAUCUCUUUCUCUGGCAACACUCCUCAUUUCAGUUCAUUUACGGCAAGGAGACGUACAGUCCUUCGCUACAGUGAUUGAUGAUUUGGUUGGGCUAGGCCGGUUCCGGGCCAUUGCCCUAGCGUCACUUUUGAUAAAUUGUCUUCCGUGCCUCUGUUUCUCUGCUGUUGAGAGUGUAGCAAGCAGUUUUUCUAGCUUGAUUUGGCUCUGAAGGGGAAGAAAGCAACUCAGAAUACAUUACACUUACGUUCAGCACUGAUUACCAAAGGGUUCUGUUGUGACAACGAGAAAAGUCCGUGGUUAUGACAGUCACCCCUUCUCCAUCAGCACAGAAGUCUAGUACAAUCAAUGGCAGGAACAUAAUAACUUCGUUCGUUGCUGCAUGUGAACUUUCGCUACUGGGCAUGAGGAAUUACCUCUAAAAAGUAAUUAUAGUUUCAAAGUUUUAAUUAUACUGUAAUAAGAAUUUUUCCUCUUGGAGAAAUGCAAUGCUGGCCACUUGUGUAAAUGGCUUUGGAAAGGAUUAGCUUAAUUAAGGUCAUCCACCAAUGAAAAAGAAUCUCAGUUUAUUAAUCACCAUCUUAUUCUUAACAGAUUAAUCUAUUAAUAAAAUGUAAAAAAAAAAUAAAAAAUAGCAUAUUGCCAAAAUCCCACUAUAAGUAGCUUUUUAUCAUAUUGAAAGAAGCUGGUAUUUUACCAUUCAAUAAACGAAACCUUCCUCUUGUUAGACGAAAUGCCAUCAUCAAGUGUGUUUUUCUCCCUGAUCAUGAACGCAACAAUCUAGAGCCAAAAUGGCCUUUAAAAUAACACUAUACAAGCGAAGUGAAAAGUUGUCCCUUAAAAAUAAUCAACUAGAGUUGUCGUUGGCUAAUCUACUGAUUAAACUGAUCAAAGACUGCCGUGCUAAGAUUAAUGGAGAUAUUUAUUGGUGACUUCAGAUCAUCAAGACCCUCAUACCUGAGAAUUAUUUCUGUGGACUGUCAUCAUAAAGACCCCAUUCUCUUCACACAUGUUCACUUGGCAUAAAGUAUUUAAAACUGCAACCUGAUUGCCAUUCCACUCCCUUCUGCCAAACUAUUGUACUUUUGUUCUACUUAGAAUCAUGCCGAAGUCCUCACUUCAACAAUAUCCUGAUCAGACAGCAGCCAUCCAAUAAAGCUCUUUAUGAUACAUUACUUCCUUUGAUCAUAUUUAAUUGGGGUUAUCAGGAUUAAUCAGCAAAAACCCUGUUCCAAAUGUGGAGCCAAUCGAUAUCAUCAAUGAAUGUCAUAUCACACGUUUGCUUGGCUUGACCUAUUUUCCAUCUAAGCCACAUUGAUUGCCGUUAAUUAUGCACUCUUGCUUUAAAUAUUUAUUGAUUUUGUUUUAAUUAACUGUUCCAUUACUUAGUAAGGAAUUGAUUCUAGGCUGACUGGCCCACAAUUGCACCAGUCAUCCAUGGAGACUUUAAGAACGUAUUCUUCUAGGGAAGUAGGUCUUAAACUCUGUUCCAGGUAACCAUGGGCUUCCUCAGAGACACUGCAAUGAGGUCGUCAGUAGAAGCAGACAAGCUUCUGUUGAUAAACCUUCUCGUAUGUUCCCUGCAAUGUAUGUUCCCUGCAAUGUGAGCCAUGGAAGAAUAUUGGAUGUGCUCUACAUCACCCUCUUAGUUCAUCCAGGGCAUCAAUGAGGUUCAACAGUGACCCACAUGAACUGAUUGUCAGCCUUAGGACAGCCUUAGGAUCACCUUUUCCCAAUGUGCUGAGUUACCAUGUGACAUAGGUCAAUAGGAACUUGUUUCCCUGAAAACAGAAAGUAUGAAAACCAUAGUUCCAGGUCUUCUUCAAGGCACAAUCUAAUUUAUCUAUGAGAGCAGGUUAGGAGGUAGCUUCUCCCUAUGCCAUCUCCCAAAGAUGUGUAUGAGGGAACCAUCUGUGUGGGGCCAUUAACUGUUAAUUGUUUAAUUGCACACUGAAAUUGAUAAUGUAUGUAUGUAUGUUGCUGAAGAGUUUAACAUUGGAAAAUGCCAGUGUGGUAUACUAAAUCUAGAAGAGAGCUCUUUAAGCUUCUAAAUGGAUUAAUGGUUAACAGUUGAUGUUCUCAGCUCUUUCAAGUGAGUCUUUAACCUUAGGUCACAUGGUUAAGGUAUUCAAUUGCAAAUCGCCAUUUUGAAGGAAGUUGCUUUGGUCUUUUGUUCCCAGGCGCAGUGAGAGAAAGAUGUGCAAAUGAUGCAUCUCCAGGAGAAACAGCCUCAGGCUGGUGGAGGCUGUCAGGAGAGAGAGAUCUUUGAAUCUAAAUCUGCUUGGAGUUAUAUAAUAUUUCUAAGAACAUGAACCUCCGCUUUGACAAGUAUAUGUCUGAUGGAACUAUUUGGAUGUAUCAUUGAUUGUUUUUGCACCUGUUUUGAAGAAGUUCUGCUUAGUAAAGCUUUCAAUAAUAUUUAUGGGUCCUUUUAUUCCACAAGGAGUCCAUUUUUAUGCAUCCAAUUGCUUCAAGCUGCACAAUAUCAAUAUCUGCACUAGUAACUGGGUUCCUACCUAUGCAAAUAUUAUCCAGCCAGUAGGGAAGGUUAACACGUGCGGUAAUGAGCUCACACAUUCUCCUCUUCUUUUUAGACACUCUUCAUCCUUGCAUUUGCUAGACCAUGUAUUGGGGUAGGGUGGGCUUGGCAUUUAUUGGUUUGUUUUGUUCUUGUUUUUAUUAGGUAGUAUGUGUUUUUAUUUUGUGCUUUAAUGCUGUGAACUGCCCUGUGAUCUACGGAUGAAGGGUGGUAUAAAAAUUUAAUAGCUAAAUAAAUAAAAAUGCUACCUAUCCACACACAUGGCUAUGUGUGUAGGUGUAUGUGUGAAAUCCUUCCAUUCCCACACGCUGCAUCAUAGAGCAUGUAACAGUUACAUGGUCACCUGGUCAGUGUUGGAAGUGCUUUGGAAGCCUUAGGAUGCAGUGCAUUAUGAGCCAGUCAUUGAUUCUGUAGUAGAGGAAAUUUGUGCCCCUUCAGUUGUUGUUAAACUCUGGGGCUGAUGGGAGCUGGGAGUCCAACAAUGACUGGAGAGCCACAGAUUCCUCAUGCCUGCUUCAGAGGAACUGACUGUCUCCUACCCUUGCUGCAGCAGAUGAUGUUUCUGCCAGGGGGUGGAGUCCAGGUUCCCUCUUUAACCCCCAAGUCUAGCACUGUACGGAAUUUUUACGAUAUUGAGUCUAGCACCAAAGUGCAUCAGCCAAAUGUGAAGGUAAGAAUGGGGAGAGAGGCAGAGGCAGCUGAAGUUGUCCAGUUGGUAGGAAAUGUCUCAGAAUUUAGAUACAGCCAUUUCAGACCAUAGGACAAAGCUGCCAUUGUAAAGGUAAAGGGUAAAGGGACCCCUGACCAUUAGGUCCAGUCAUGACCGACUCUGGGGUUGCGGCGCUCAUCUUGCUUUAUUGGCCAAGGGAGCCGGCAUACAGCUUCCGGGUCAUGUGCCCAGCAUGACUAAGCUGCUUCUGGCGAACCGAACCAGAGCAGCACACGGAAAUGCCGUUUACCUUCCCGCUGGAGCGGUACCUAUUUAUCUACUUGCACUUUGACAUGCUUUCGAACUGCUAGGUUGGCAGGAGCAGGGACCGAGCAACGGGAGCUCACCCCAUCGCGGGGAUUCAAACCACCGACCUUCUGAUUGGCAAGUCCUAGGCUCUGUGGUUUAACCCACAGCGCCACCCGCGUCAGAAUUUAGAUACAGGCAUUUCAGACCAUAGGACAAAGCUGCCAUUGUAGCUAAAGCCAAUUCAUAAGAUCACAUUGUUAGUCCGCUACUUUAAACACUGAGAUCUCUACCCUUUGCUAUCUCAAAUCUUUUAUUUUAAUAGCACAAGGGAUUGUGUACCCUUCUGCAUGUAACAGAAGGCAAUAUCCAUGUGGCAGCAGGAUAUUACAGAGAAAAGGGUGGUUAAGUCAAAAGCAAAUAUCAACAGUAUUUUUCAUGCAGUACAUUCACUUGUUCUUCCAGUGUAGAGUUACAAAAAAAUGUCCUCUGAUUUCCCUUUAAGUGCUCUGUGGAAAAUGGAAGAAUAUUCCGUAUUCACAUUUACCGUUCUGUACAUUUCUGUUAUAUAAUAUGUAUACAAUUAGGAAAUGACCCCAUUUUAACUUGUCAGUAAAGGUGUUGCACAUCUCCCCCUCCCAAUUCAGCACUCAUGAGUAAUACAUGGAAUGCUGAUGUGUCACUUGAUUAUGCAUAAAACAGGAAUAAUUUAGAGCUUUUUCAAAUAUCCAAGACAGGAAAGAUAUUGGGAUCCAAGGUGCACAAUACAAAAUGUUCUAAAUAUUUGCUGGAGGGCGGAGCUGAAGAAGAACUAACCCUAUCAUUUUUUCACUGCUAUUUAUAUCGCUUGCAUCUCCUCUCUGCUGCUGUUUCAGUAUCAUCCCUCUUGCCCCAAGUUUUCUCCUUCCCCCUUAGGAAAGGGCUGUGGCUCAACGGCAACAUACUUUGCAUGCAGAAGAUUAUCGGUUUAAUUCCCAGCAUCUUCAGUAGGGCUGGGGAACAUGCAGUCUGGAGAGAUGCCAUAUAGGUUACAUAUGGAGACAGGUUUCGCUUAAAACCGGAUGGCACAUCCUAAAUCACAGAGUCUAGAGCACCUAAAUCUGCAAUUUGUUAAAUCAACAGAAGUAUAGUGGUACCUCAGGUUAAGUAAUUAAUUCAUUCCAGAGGUCCAUUCUUAACCUGAAACUGUUCUUAACCUGAAGCACCACUUUAGCUAAUGGGGCCUCCUGCUCGCGCUGCACUGCCAGAGCACGAUUUCUGUUCUUAUCCUGAAGCAACGUUCUUAACCUGAAGCACUAUUUCUGGGUUAGUGGAGUGUGUAGCCUGAAGCGUAUGUAACCUGAAGCAUAUGUAACCCGAGGUACCACUGUGUAGUGUCCAGAUCAGGCAUCCCCAAACUUGGCCCUCCAGCUGUUUUGGGACUACAACCACUGGUCCUGUUAGCUAGGGAUGGAGGGAGUUGUAGUCCCAAAACAGCUGGAAGGCCGAGUUUGGGGAUGCCUGGUCCAGAUCAAGGGAAGUAAUUGUACCACUCUAUUCUGCCUUGGUCAGACGAUACCUGGAAUACUGUGUCCAGUUCUGGGCGCCACAAUUUAAGAAGGCUGUUGACAAGCUGGAAUGUGUGCAGAGAAGGGUAACCAAGAUGAUCAAGGGUCUGGAAACCAAGCCUUAUGAGGAAUGGUUGAAGGAGUUGCAUAUGUUUAGCCUGGAAAAAAGGAGACUGAGAGGAGAUAUGAUAGCCACCUUCAAAUAUCUUGAGGGCUGUCACAUGGAAGAUGGAGUAAGGAUGUUUUCUCCUGCUCUGGAAGGUAGGACGCAAACCAAUGGCUUCAAGCUCCAAGAAAGGAGAUUCUGACUGAACAUCAGGAAAAGCUGAGGUUCGAGAGUGGAACGGUCUCCCCUGGGAGGUGGUGGACUCUCCUUCCUUGGAGACUUUUAAGCAGAGGUUGGGUGGCCACCUGUCAAGGAUGCUUUAGCUGAGUUUCCUGCAUUGCAGGGGGUUAGACUAGAUGACCCUUGGGUCCCUUCCAACUCUACAAUUCUAUGAUUCGAAAUUUAAACUGGACCCAAGCAGAAUUAAAAGCAUUUGGGGGAGGUUUCACUGGAGGAGAAUUCAUGAAGGUUUCCAGACCUUAUAUGUUAAGAAAUGUCCUGGCAUGCAUUCUCUCAGUCUGCAUCCUCAUGUGACUUCACUUCCACAAGGCUGUCCCAAAAUGACCACUGAGUCCUGAAAUCAUAAACUAGCUGGCAAUUGAGAUGCAUUAACUUAGGCUGCAAUCCUGUAUGCACUUCCUCGGGAACAAACCUCACUGAACAUCGUAGGGCUGAACAAACAUGAAUAUAAUUCCUCUGUUGGUCUACAGAUGCAGAUAAACUGUAAAUGGAGUAGGUUCUGAAAGAUUUAAGUUUUAUUUAAAAUGAUUUAUAUCUCUUCUGCAUGCAGCACUUAAAGGGAAAACUUCACAGAUGCUGGGCACAAUGGCCUCAAUUUUCAUAACAAUGCCAAUGUCCUGUGAGCUCUCAAAGCACCAUGCCUUCCAUUUUACAAUGUAAUCUCCUUCAUUUGAAAUAGAAACCUAUUUUUCACAGCUUUAGUGGAAACCCAGGUACUGAUAUAUGAAAAUAAGACAGAGAAAUUCAUAACUUUCCCUAACCCCCCCUUGUUGCUCACUUCCAUAGGCAUUUCAGUUUUAUAGAAAGGGAGAGAAAUGAAUUGUCCCAACAUGACAUGCUAGACAAACUCCUUAUUUUUCCUAACAUACAUUAAUGCACCCAGAGUGAUUCGAACUUUGCUUAGUAUUGGCUGGUGGGGUAUAAGGAAUAUAAGGAAUAAAUUAUUAUUAUUAUUAUUAGUAGUAGUAGUAGUAGUAGCAGCAGCAGCAGAAGUAUUAUUACUACUACUACUACUACUAUGUACUUGCAGAAAAGAGGCCGCCGAGACCACAUAACAUCGGACUUGAAAGACCUACACUGGCUCCCAGUACAUUUCCGAGCACAAUUCAAAGUGUUGGUGCUGACCUAUAAAGCCCUAAAUGGCCUCGGUCCUGUAUACCUGAAGGAGCGUCUCCACCCCCAUUGUUCUGCCCGGACACUGAGGUCCAGCUCCAAGGGCCUUCUGGCAGUUCCCUCACUGCAAGAAGCCAAGUUACAGGGAACCAGGCAGGGGGCCUUCUCGGUAGUUGCACCCUCCCUAUGAAACACCCUCCCACCAGAUGUCAAAGAGAAAAAUAACUACCAGACUUUUAGAAGACAUCUGAAGGCAGCCCUGUUUAGGGAAGCUUUUAAUGUUUAAUAGAUUGUUGUAUUUUAAUAUUCUGUUGGAAGCUGCCCAAAGUGGCUGGGGAAACCCAGCCAGAUGGGCAGGGUAUAAAUUAUUAUUAUUAUUAUUAUUAUUAUUAUUAUUAUUAUUAUUUGAUUAGCCCCUACAAGUCAGGGCUACAUACCAUGCGAUCCACCAAAUCUCUUGUUUUUCAGUGUGACAAGGAAGGCACAGUACAUAACUGGUAGACUGUAUUUGCAACUGUGCGUGACGCAAAGUGACGACAUUGCCCCCAAAGAAGGAAUUGUCACACACAAAUGGAGGGGAAGACUACAGAAGAGGGCACAGAUUUGCAUAUGCUAUGUUUAGUGAUACAAAUUUAGGAAUAAAUUGUAGAAUUAGAUAGGAAUACAGGAUUUCGCACCUUGGAGGCAGGAGCAGCCAACAUGGCAGAGUAGUUCUUGAAUAUGCCCUCCUAACUCCACUAACCACUUACUAGCAGAGUGUUGGGGCAUGGCAGUGGUGAGGUUGAUGUUAAUCUGUCUCUCCUGCCACUGCAGCCACACAACUCUGACCUUGCCACCAUUCUGCCUCAGCCUUAACCAUCUCACAGGGUGUACGUGAGGAUAACCUGGAUAGCUAGUUCCAUGCAAACUGUCCACAACAUCUUGGAGGUAAGCCUGAAUAUUCAGUUCCAAAUAUUCACUAGUGACAGUAAACAUAUCUUGGUAUUCAGCAUACGAAUAACACCAUGGCAAAUUUCAUUUAAUGCAGGAAAUUGCUUAUGUGGUACCCAGCACUGUAAUUUUCUGUUUGUGUGUUGGAAGCAUUGCCUUUGAAAAUCAAGCACGCCUCCUGAAAGAUUCAAAAGUCAGUAAAGUGACUGAUUUGCAUCUGUUCAGCAUCUACAACAGAUUACCUAAGUUGUUGCUGAUAUUAAUGAAUUUGUGCUUGUCAUUUUGCUGGAGAUGACCCUAGGAGACUUCAGUGUUAAAUCCACAUUUUUCUUAGUUUUCACCCCCAAGAUUAUCAGUUUUAGAGUAAUUUGAAAGGAAUGCCAGGGAAUUUGCAAGCAUGUGAGAAAAGGAUUUGCUUUGUCAUUGAGAAAGACGACAGAGAAUAUGCCAACAUUUGUAAAACAUGUUCAUCAGUCUUGGUGACCUUUCUGAGUGAUUUAGUGUACCUGAACAUUAAUUAUGAUUCACAGAAAGCGAAACAAGAAAUAAACAAAAAUUCCUCCCGUUUUUUGUUUUUUUAAUGUGGUUGUAUGAUACUUGGAUACAUCCUGUUCAAUAAUGAAAAAUCUCUUCCAUCAUUGAUAAAUGAAGGAUUUAUUCAUGAAACUCCCAGUAGCAUUAAUGAGACAUUGCCUGGCAUUGAUUGGAGAAUAAAUUUAUGUACUAUGGACAGGCACAUGUAGGAAUUAAUUUCUCUUUUUUUUUUAGCCAGAGACUGAACUGUGCAAGCCUGUAGCCAACACUAUUGCUGUUGCCUCUGAGAGGAACAUGUCUGCCACCUCAAUUCUUCCUGCUGCCCAUGGGGAAAGCUGGCAGAAAUUGAGCAGGCAAAAUGGUAUAGCAUUGGCAUGCAACUGGGCAGAGCUCUGCACCUACUCCUGACCUUGCCAGCACUGUAGGUGGUGGUCACAUGCCCUACUUUGAAGAGGGCAAUCUUCUGUGUCAAAGGGCUGUCAGAGGACAAUCCUCUAUUUGAUGGUGUCCUCUAUUUGAGAGUUUUCCAGUCCAAGUCUGGUUUAAAUAUAAGGGGAGAGCAGGGGCCUUGAAGUUCGCCAGCAAUGGUUUUACAAGUUGCUUACCUCAUUACGGUGAGGUGUGUUGCAUUUCCAUUUAAAACAUCUUCUUAUUUGGCAAUCACUUGUAGCCGAAUAAGAUUGUCUUCCAUAAACACAGUUUUAACAAUAAGUCCGUAAGUAACUGUGGAGGCCAAUUCUGGAUCCACACGUACUUCCACAGUGGGGACAUAGGUUUCUGGGUGGGAGUUGAUCACGGUGAGGGUUUGCCAAGUGUGCCUUCCUCUUAGCACAUUUCAACUUUUUGUCAUGAGUGUCUUCAAAGCCCAUGAGACUUUUGGUAAAUUGUUCUCCAAUUGGAGCACUCACAGGCCAAUGUUUCCCAGUUGUCAGUGUUUAUACUACUUUUUCUUUCAGAUUUUCCUUGAGAGAGUCUUUAAACCUCUUUUGUUGACCACCAGCAUUAUGCUUUCCAUUUUUAAGUUUGGAUUUCUAAGUUUGUGUCUAUAUAUCGAAAUUGCCAUAUGUAACUUUGAUGCAAACUGUUAUCUACUUUCCUCUCUGUUUUUGGCAAUGCGUAUCUAGACCAACGGGACGUGGGUGGUGCUGUGGGUUAAACCACAGAGCCUAGGACUUGCCGAUCAGAAGGUUGGCAGUCUGAAUCCCCGUGACGGGGUGAGCUCCCAUUGCUCGGUCCCUGCUCCUGCCCACCUAGCAGUUCGAAAGCACGUCAAAGUGCAAGUAGAUAAAUAGGUACUGCUCCGGCGGGAAGGUAAACGGUGUUUCUGUGCGCUGCUCUAGUUUGCCAGAAGCGGUUUAGUCCUGCUGGCCACAUGACCCGGAAGCUGGCUCCCUCGGCCAAUAAAGCGAGAUGAGCGCCGCAACCCCAGAGUCGGUCACGACUGGACCUAAUGGUCAGGGGUCCCUUUACCUUUACUAGACAAACAGCACUGUUGUACCAUUAAUCUUACAUUUAUAUACCACCUUGCCUCCCAGAUAUGUGGUUGUCCUCUUCCUGCUUUUAUCCUGACACAAACCCUGUGAGGUAGGUUAGGCCAGUCACCCAGUGAGCUUUAUGGCUGACAAGGGAUUUGAAGCCUGGUUUCCCAGGUCCAAGUAUGAAACACUAACACUCCCAGCAUGCUUAUACCAGGGUGGACCCAGCAUUGUAAGCCACACUACAAGACUGGUGAGACUAGCUGUCCUGUGUACCUGAACUUUCUGGCAGUGUCAUUUCGUUAUAGCACUCCAAUUGUUGGGGGGUAAGCAUGGCAUAUUUAAAAUGUUCUUGGUAACUUCAGACACAGGCUUGGAGCUUUGCUCAGCACUACAGUUGUGGGUAGCCUCUGGGAUGCGGGUGGCGCUGUGCUCUAAACCACAGAGCCUCUUGGGCUUGCCGAUCAGAAGGUUGGCAGUUCGAAUCCCCAUGACGGAAUGAGCUCCCAUUGCUCUGUCCCAGCUCCUGCCAACCUAGCAGUUCAAAAGCAUGCUGGCGCAAGUAGAUAAAUAGAUACUACUGCAGUGGAAAGGUAAACAGCAUUUCCGUGUGCUUUGGUUUCCGUCAUGGUGUUCCAUUGUGCAACAAGCAGUUUAGUCAUGCUGGCCGCAUGACCCAGAAAGCCGUCUGUGGACAAACGCCGACUCCCUUGGCCUGAAAGAGAGAUGAGUGCCACAAACCCAUAGUCAUAUUUGACUGGACUUAACCAUCCAGGGGUCCUUUACCUUUUACCUGUGGGCAGCCAGCUUGCCUACAAUCUACUAAACUGUGGCCUAAUGGGUGGCUGACACUGAGGACACCUGCACAAGGAUCACCAACAGCAGUAUGCCAAGGAUCCCCAAAAACAUCAGCUUUCCUCAUGGUUGCAAAGUGGCUAAGAGUGGUGUGUGUAUUCAGUCAGCUGAACCAGGAUAGAGGGCUCACACCAACAUAGUCUGUCUGCACUGGGAACUGACCAGCUGAGGCAGAGAUCUGCGAGAUCCUACCGUACUCAUCCUGCAAGAACUUGGGUUUAGAUAGCUCCCUGUGAUAUCUGUAGAAGACACACUUUUCAAAAGUGUUUUAAAUACAACUGAUUUGUCUUAAGAGUAGCCCAGUUACAAUAUUUAAACAAUGGGUAUUUGAUAGCUUCUGCAGUAGCCCCUCAUAAACUUUCUCUGCCCUUGGAGAUUAGCAUCUAUUUUGUAAAUAUUCUCUCUCUCUCUCUCCCAGGGUGUGACACCAUUUCCCACAAAAAAGAAAAGUAGCUAUAUCACUCAGUUCAAAUGGCUGUUAAAUGCCAUACAUUUAUCUCUAGUAGUGGAAGGUGAGAGAUAAUGUAAGAAAAGUGUCAGGAUGCUGAACUCGAUUCCACUAAUAUCCCAAGACAUGGAACAUCCUUUGACCUCAUUCUGUGAUCUCACCACAAGCAGGUGCCUGGUAGUCUGGGCCAAUCAUUGCUUGUAUCUGUGAAAUUCAACCCCACCCCUAAGAAAAAACCUAUUUCACAGGUUCAAAGAAUUGUGAAGGUGACUGAAAAGGCUUAGGGGAAUAUUUAAUGACAACAUUUAUCUCUGAGACAAAUCCUUCCUUUAACCUUGACCACACCGAUUCAGACAGCAGCAGUUUGGCACAGUCCUGGUCAGCAAGGAGCAAUAGGCUGCACUGCAGAGCCGUUGCAGCGACAGAAAUCUAUACACAAGAUAUACCUUUAGAAAAGGUGAGAUGGUCUAUUGUAAGAGAUGGAUGGAAGAGUAUGCGUCAUAUGAGUCAUCCAUUAAAACAAGUGCCACCUGUCAUUUUUCCGCCACCUCAUCCCCAUGAAUCACCACCAAGGAACAACACUUUCAUCAUUGACAGGGCUGUGCUGGAAUUCCUUAUGCAAGCUAUUUUCAGCAGGAUUGGAGGGGAAUCUGGGAUGAUGAAGCAACCAUCACUCCCAGCUCUCCUUCUCCAAGAUCACACAGCAGAAUCAUAAAGUCAAUCAGAGUAAGAGCAGCACUGCAGCUGCUGGGAUAGGGAUGGAUGCUCCAUGCCACUUCUUAUCUUAUUUUGUUGUUGUUGCUGCUGUUGUUUUUACCCAAGAAUCACAUUACAGUAUUAGAAGAAGUGCAAAAUCCCAUAUAUAUGUUCCAUGGGAGAGGCAUUUAGACUCAGUGCUAACUUCUGAGUGCCCCUUUCACAGCUAUUACAAUGUGGCUGAAUCAGCCCUGAGCGAAAUUCAAAAUAUAAAUUAUAAUGCAAAUCAAAUACUUGGGAGAAUUCUGAAAGCUGAUAAAUCAAAUAAGGCAUCAGUUGUCCUUGGGCUUAACUUCCUUCACUCUAGAGGCCUUCAAACUUCUAGGAUCCAUCAGUUUGGUCCAGCAAUGACUGAUGGCUGAGGUUCAUAACAGCUACCUGUCAUUUGCGCUUCCUUGAAAAUUGCAACACAACAUUGCGCUCUGCUUAGCAGAAUCCCUUUAGCCCUUUGCCCCAGGUGAUAUCAGCUCCUGAGAUGGAUCUCAGCUUCCCUUCAUAUGCCAACCUCCUUCAGUGCUCUUGGCUUUCUUCAGCUCCUAAACAUCUCUGGAGCUUCUUCCUAAGUCUCUCAAUGUUCCACUUCAACUCUCUUCUGUUACCCCCCUUUGACCAGCACUGGACCCAGCCAUUAAUUUACGCCUAAUCACCAUUAUUUGAAUGAAAUUCCACACUCUUAUUGGUCUAUAAUUACGAGCUAUUAAGUCAGCUCAUUGGUCCAUGAGCUGACCAAUUAAAAAGCAACAACCCUUUUGAUUCUGAAUAGAAAGUGAUAAACCUCCCCAAGUUUAGCCAAUCCCAUGUUGGUAGUAGGCUACAAUCACAGAGUUUAACUGAUACUUUGCUGCUUCUUAGUCUGCGGUGUAUCCCUCUAACUCCCUGCAGGAGCACAAGUCAGUUUAGUUCACAGUUAAUACAUCACUUGCUUGAAAUGAUAUCAAAUCCUUAUAAUAAACUUUACCAUAUAAAAAUAUGAUUUCGCUACAAUCUUAUUCAAUCUCUUUUGGAUUUUCUAGCCCUUAGGUGCUUCACUUGAAGAGGAUCUCCCAAACUUGGGGACAACAUGAUUAAAGAGCUUUUAUGUUAUUGUUUCUACGCUGGUGCAGGAAAACACAACUGAGCCUGGCAGAUCUGUCAUUUGUGAUUGAUCUCCAUUUCUCAUAAUUCCAUUCUUCAAUUUUCUUAUCUGUUUGUGUGUGUUUUUUAAGAAUGUUCACAUGAAAAUUCAUUAGAACAAAUUUCCCCUAAUAUACAAAUGCGAAUGCAAUUUACACUGAUAUACAUGUUUUGCAAAACAUAUUUCUCCCAAUAGGAUGCUAGAAUUAUCGAGUUGGAAAGGACCUUGAGAGUCAUAAAGUCCAACCCCCUGCAAUGAAAGAAUCUCAGCUAAAGCAUCCAUGACAGAGGGCCACCCAACCUAUGCUCAAAAACCUUCCAUGAAGGAAAGUCCACCACCUCUCGUGAGAGUCUGUUUCACCGUCGCAUGGCUCUUACUGCCAGAAAGUUAUUCCUGAUGUCUAGUCAAAUUCUCCUUUCUUGUGACUCAAAGCCAUAUUUAUACUGUAUGCUCUUUUCACUAAGAUAUACAUUUGUCUGCACACUCAGCACAUGCCUCUUUGUACUCUUUACUUGGGUUAGAGACCUUCAUCUCAACAUUCAGAAAAGUAAGAACUUGGCAGCGUGGUUGAGUUCCAGUUAACAUAUUGUUUGAGAAAGUGUGUGUUAUAAUAAUUAAUAAUAAUAAUAAUAAUAAUAAUAAUAAUAAUAAUUUAUACCCCGCCCAUCUGGCUGAGUUUCCCCAGCCACUCUGGGUGGCUUCCAAUCAAGUGUUAAAAACAAUACAGCAUUAAAUAUUAAAAACUUCCCUAAACAGGGCUGCCUUCAGAUGUCUUUUAAAGAGAAGAUAGCUGUUUAUUUCCUUCACAUCUGAAGGGAGGGCAUUCCACAGGGUGGGCGCCACUACCGAGAAGGCCCUCUGUCUGGUUAUGUAAAUUCCCAUUUAAAACUGUGAACUGAAUCAGAGUUAUCGCCCAUCCCUCAGUUGCAUUACUAUGGGAGAGGGGUGUCCUUGGGACUGGGCAGUCAACAGGGGCUAGGGAGGGACGGGGGAGGAUGUCUGGACCUCCUGGGUUGCAAGUUGCAUUACCUAUUCCUGCUGCAGAGUGAGGACUUGUUGACUAAGCUGCAGAAAAUUCUGGGAAACAAACUAGAUCACCAGCAUGAUGGCUAAAGAUGUCAUGAAAGACAUACUAGUGGGAAUGGUUAUGUGAGGUUGUUCUCUCUCUCUCCUCUUACACUGGCCUUUCAAAUUUGUUUCUGCCAGGGAAAGCAUUUGGAGGCUGCUGUGUUCACACUUGCUCUUGUUUUAGCUGCUGAGAUCCCUCCUAUCAAUUAUUGCACACACACACAAAAAGCCUCUUAUUUGAAAAGUGUUAAUUGAACAUGGUGGGAAACAGCAGCCCAGGGGGACAUACAAGAUCAGACAUGUGGGAGGCAGGUGAGGAGAGUACAAAGAAGGGAAAUGCAAGCGCAUUAGGAAAUGUAUGAAAUAUGGAGAAGUCGGGAGGGGGAAAUGAAGUGGUGUUGAUAGCAGAGAAGAUGCAUUUCAGGGAUCGAAUAAUAAGGAUAAACUGGGUCCAAAACAGCCCAUCCAAAUUAAUAUGCUAAGCUGCAGCUUCCUCAGCCUACAAUCAUAAAUAGGAACAAUAUGCCUAAGCAACACUUCUUUCGAGGCUAGAUAAAAUCAUAUACAAAAUGUAAAUGUGCCAAUUACUAUGCUAUUUUUAAUCUAUUUGACAUGGUUUUCUUUAACACCCCCCUUCAAUCUGGUACAAUAGAAUCAUAGAAUCAUAGAAUUUUAGAGUUGGAAGGGAACCCAAGGGUCAUCUAGUCCAAACCCUGUAAUGCAGGAAACUCAACUAAAGUAUCCAUGAAAGAUGGCCAUCCAUCCUCUGCUUAUAGACCUCCAAGGAAGGAGAGUCCACCACCUCUCAUUGGAGAAUGUUCCACUGUUGAACAGCUCUUACGGUCAGAAAGUUCUUCCUGAUCUUUUUUCUUGUAACUUGAAGCCAUUGGUUCGAGUCCUAACCUCCAGAGCAGGAGAAAACAAAGUUGCUCCAUCUUCCAUGUGACAGCCCUUGAGAUAUUUCAAGAUGGCCUCUCAGUCUCCUCUUUUCCAGGCUAAACAUACACAGCUCCUUCAAUUGUUCUUUCAUAGGGCUUGAUUUCCAGACCUUCGAUCAUCUUGAUUGCCCUCCACUGCACAUGUUCCAGCUUGGCAACAUCCUUCCUAAAUUGUGGCAUCCAUAAUUGGACACAGUACUCCAGGCAUGGUCUGACCAAGGCAGAAUAGAAUGGUACAAUACACCCCUUGAUCUGGACACUGUCCUUCUGUUGAUAUAGCACAGACUAGCAUUAGCUUAUUUUGCUGCUGCAGUAUCACACUGUUGACUCAUGUUAAGCUUGUGGUCCAGCAAGACCCUAGAUCCUUUUCGCAUGUACUGCAAGUAAGUCAGGUGUCCCCCAUCUUAUAUUUGUAUAUCUGGUUUUUCCUGCCUAAGUGCAGAAACAUAGACAAAGUCUUCAUCUACCAAUUGUUAGUAUCUUUUUGAAGAUUUACAAUAAAAAACAGCAACAAUCCAAGUCAAUAGAGGAAAAACUAAAAGUAUUAUCCAGCCACACUUAAUAAAUUUAAAGUCUGCUAGGUGGAGCUGUGGGUUAAACCACAGAGCCUAGGACUUGCCGAUCAGAAGGUUGGCAGUAUGAAUGCCCGCGACGGGGUGAGCUCCCGUUGCUCGGUCCCUGCACCUGCCCACCUAGCAGUUCGAAAGCAUGUCAAAGUGCAAGUAGAUAAAUAGGUACCACUCCGGCGGGAAAGUAAAUGGUGUUUCCAUGCGCUGCUCUGGUUCGCCAGAAGCGGCUUAGUCAUGCUGGCCACAUGACCCGGAAGCUGUACACCAGCUCCCUCGGCCAAUAAAGUGAGAUGAGCGCCGCAACCCCAGAGUUGGGCACGACUGGACCUCAUGGUCAGGGGUCCCUUUACCUUUACCUAGGUUUCAAAAGGAGGCGAAUGGACUGUGCAGUUCUAGAUCCCUGCUACAGUGGCAAGUGGUGUGUACUAUACCUAAAUGUGCUGGCUUUACACUUAUGCCCUUUCAGCACCAAGUAGAGAGCACAGGAACACACAAACAAGAUACACUGUCCCUACAGAAGCAGACAUCCCCACAUCCACAACAACUGUAUCACCACAUACCCAGCCACAGUGCUGCACAUUGACAAUAUAGACUUAUGACAGGUAUGUAUAGAAAGCACCAAUUAAUGCACAGUUGUUGUUGUUGUUGUUAUAAUAUUUUUAUAUAGCCCUAUACCCGCAGGUCUCAGGGCAGGUAGAAAAGGACCAUUCUCGUGAUGCUACCCUCCGGACCUCUCUAGGAGGAAACACACAAAGAAGGGCCUUAGAAGAUGAACAAAGGGACCAGGUUCAUAUAGAGAGAGGUGGUCUUUGUGGUCCUGAGGUCCUGAAGUGUUUAAAACUUUAUAGGUCAAAACCAGCACCUUGACUUGGGAGCAGAAAUAUAUCACUCUGUCUGUGAAUAUAUGAGUUUGAAGUGAAAACACAAUAAAUUUAUUUCAGUGGAGAGUAUCCCCAAAAAAACAAAAUAUAAGGCUAGGUUCCUGUUCACAAAGUUGACGUUGUCAAGAUCAAAUAGUGUGAUAAUAUCCUUUGGCCAAUUUCUCUCUGUCUCUCUCUGCCUCUCUUCACUCAGCAGAGCUAACAUCAGCAUGGUUUACCUAGUGGAAAGUGUGAUAAUUCUGAUAUCCAUUAUGUGAUGGAUGCCUUCAGAUAACACUUUCUCCCACAGAUUCCAUUGUUAUUGUUGUUGCACAAAUCACCAUACAGUGGAAAGAACUGGGUUAUCUGUAAAUACCCCAGUGAGUCAGUGGUUUACAAUUAUCUGCCUUAAGUGCAAUUAAAACUCUCAUUAAAUAGUUUAGUGGGGCUUUUUUCUUCUUCCUGAAGUUCUAUGAAAGGCUAGAACAGAAAUGUGUGAUCACCUGUGUUUGACGGUUGCAGUGAAAGAUUAACGUGGGUGAGAAACUAUUAGGCACAUAAUUAGAAAUCGUAAAUCUUCCAUUCUUAUUGGUAAGCCUUUGUUAUGUAUUAAAAAUACAAUUUCUUGCAAGCAAAGAGAGUGCAGAAGAAUGUAACAUUUUUUAUUGCUCUUCUCCAUCUAAUGCAUGUUUUAUUAUCAUUAUCUGAUAGCAUGACAAGAGUUGUCUUUGAAGAAAAAAAUGCCAUCCUUUGAGUUUAAAUGUUAUUUGUUUGUUUGUUUAGAGAGUUUAUUUGCCAUUCCUCAGGUAAAAACUCUCUCAACAGCUUCUAUAAAAAAAAUCAAAAAAGCAAUAAAAUCAGGUAAAAAGGGGGGUGGUACACCACAGCAAAUACAAAUGCAGGCUAGCACAUGGAGAGAACAACCACAACAAAAUAUUUGCAAGUUUUCAUUCAUGUUAAUAAAACAAAGAUAGCCAGUAGCCUUCUUUAUAGCAAUGUGUGUAAAGAAGAUAUGUGACAAAUUACAAUAGUGCAUCUGAUCUGUACUACAUUUCCCUAAAGGUAAAAAUGCUGUUAUCAUUUGAGGUAAAUGGACCAAGUGUAAACAUAAUAAUAAAGAAUAUAGCUUCUAGUGAAUGAGUUCUGCGAAGUGUCAAUGAUGGAAUAUUGAAAGAUUUAUAAAACUGGGCUUGGAGGAAAUGGAAAGUCUGCUGCUUCGGAUCUGAUCUUGUUUUUUGUUUUUUUAUCACAAUGGGAAAAAGAGGAAUUCCAACACUCCAGCAAAAAUCACAUUCAAACCUGGCCUCAUUGGUGUUGUGACCAUUAACAGCAACAUUUGGAUCAAGCCCUGAGAAGUGUCUCCAUGGAGGACUAAGCCCACAGAGCCAAGCAAAUCAGCAACCUCUGUUGGCAGUGACGCAGUCACCAUAGUGACUGCUAGGACCAAGUAUGAGCCUUCCAUUUGAGAGCAUCUUGGACAUAGCUCGGCAGCUCCACUUGCAGAGAUGGGGAGCCUGUGGCCCUCCAGAUGUUGUUGGACCCACCAUUCUUGUCCACUGACUAUAUUGGCUUGGGCUGAUAGGAGUUGGAGUCAAACAACAUAUCAAGGUUACAAGCCCCACCCCCCUAAUCCCUGCCCUGCCUUGCUGGGCAGGGAGUAUAGGGCUCAACUGGGGAGGGGGGUAAUUUUCCAGCAAAAUCUUAUCAUCAGGAAGGAAUUGUGAAGACAAGUGGCCUAGGAAAAUGAUGGGAUCCGAACUAGAUGAUAGGAAAAGGAUGCAGAAAGAUGAGAAAGGUUCCGUUUGCAAUAUGACCUCUGCUUUCUUGGGGACAUUUGUUUGCAUCAGUUUCUGGUACCUGGCAUCUUUAGAAGGAAAUUGAGCAGUUCACUUUGAGAAUUCAUCUCUGUAUGUGUGUGUUUGUGUGCUGUUGCAUAAAGAAGUCAGAAUAAUCCUUACUGUCAUUUUUUUUUUGUGGGAUUCCACUUACGUGAUAAUAUUUCCAUGAGAAGGUAAAUCAUAUGUUGAGAAGAUACACUCAAGUGCACUUGAUUUACAUUUGGCACAGUUUGCUCUUGCUUUUCUGGAGGAAGUUAUCAUCCUAUUUGUGAUAGGUUUUAAAGAUGUAUUUUACAAAGGAUUUGGGAUAUAAAUGAGAUAUAUUUCCUCUGUUGCCAGGGAAUAUUGAUCCCUAUGUGAAAUUGCUUGCAAUUAUCUUUUCCCCACACGUGCAAGAAAACGAGGUCUGCAGAUUCUUCUGUAGCUGCUACACAGCACAGUAGUUGCAUGUGGUUUAGCAAAUGGUUGUUUAAUGAUAAUAUCUCAUUAUUCUGCAUUAUGAGUGGGGACUUUGAUUUAAGAAGACAGAGCAACCAUAAGUCCCAUAAGGCAGGUGAGUGAUGUCGGUGCAGUUGGAAAACGUUGCCACAAUGUAAUAGGAUCAGAAUUGGGGAAUGCUUAAUUAUGUUCAGCAGUCAAUGGGUAAAUCACAACCUCCAAGCAAAUAUUUAAAGUUGGAGAUACUUUGGAGGCAGUAAAAUAGUUACUCACUUUUGCACACCACAAAAGUUGUUCGGAGGCAAACAAACAGAAGAGAAAGUGACUUAGCAGCAGCACUGACAAGCGCUGUGUGUGUCAAUGUAUAUUCAUAUUCAUAUGUCCCCAGGCAGCAUAAGCGGAAGCACAUAUCAAGUAUUUAAAACAGAAACAACCUCUCACUUUUCUCAUAGCUGGUACUGAAAGCUACUAAGAUCUGUCUCUGGGUGAUUUCCUAUUCAAGAUAGCAUAUAUAAAAUAUGCAUACCUUAGUCUGAGCAAAAGCCUAACUUUGUUGUUGGAUUAUAAAUAUGAAAAAGUGCUGUGUUGACGGUUUCUGCAGUUUGCUUAACUUAUCUGGGGAUAAGCUUGCCGUACGUCAGGAAAAUUCACGGGUUUUGGGUGUAAAAAUGACGUCAGGGGGGAAUUUUGUCGAACUGGCAAAAUGUCAGGGGAAACCCUGAUGUUUGGCAACACAAUGGAAAAAGCAGUGGAAACAAAAGCUUACUUUUUGAAAUACGUCAACCCUAUCUGAGUGGGGGAGAACAAAUCCAUUCUCCUUGCUUCAUUAUUCUGCAGACUCAUAAGGCCAAACAUCAGUAAUCAUGAUCCCGGUAGAGCACAAAAGUUUAAGUCCCAUGACUCAGCUAUACAGCGACAAAUAAAACGUUUUAAGUGUGUUUUAAGUGCAAUUGACAAUGUGACACUUGAUGGCGAUGGCGAGCCGUAUGGAAAAUUCAAUGUAUUUUUAAAAACACUGUCAAAAAAGCAUUUUCAGAAUGGUUUUUUAAAAAAUAUAUGUGUAGAUUCCACCCCACUUUGAAGUUCAGUGGCAGACUUAGGUAAAUACCGUAUUGACAUGAAUAUAAGCCGUACCCAAACAUAAGCUGCACCUUUAAAAUUGGAGGGGGGGGGAGGAAAAAAGAAAAAAUACCCAAAUAUAAGCCGCUCCAUUCCUCGCUGCUCCUGGGUGCAUACUGGAGGGUGGGGACAGCCACGCUGCAUUGCCGGCGGUCUUUUCUCUUCCUUGCUCUCUCCCUUCCCAGCCUUGGGGGAGAGGACAGGGGACGAUGAAUGGAGCAGGCACUGCUUUGCCACGCUCCUAGCUGUAUACCGUAAGGUUGCGAAUGUAAGCUGCACUUUAACUUUUCACGGUCAGAAUUUGGGGAAAAAGUGAGACUUAUCUUCAGGCCUAUACAGUAUAUGAAGAAAGGAAGAUGAAAAAAUCUGGGAAGUGAGCAAGUUCCUAACAAGGAGGACUGGCAACUUAAGCUGAUGGAAUACACAGACAUACACAAUUUAAGAUGAUGGAAUAACAAGUAGAGUAAGAGAGCAGGAGGAACAAGUACUUAAAGAGGAGUGGAAAUUUUUUGUUGAGUAUGUAGAAAAUAAUUGUACACAGAUCAAAACGCUGUCAGCAUUAAGGUAAAUUCAACAGCAUAACAUAUUUAAAGAGAUAUUGUAAAGGGGGGGAUUUGAACCAAACCAAUAUAUAUAAGAAUAUGCAGGAAUUGGGGUUAAAUUAAAGGCGCUUUGGAAGGGGGAGGAGGGAAGUCAUUGAAUGUAUUGGUAUUUUGUAAGACUUUAAUGUGGAAAUGUAUAUCUAAAAACUUUUCAAUAAUUUUUUUUUAAAAAAGAUAACAUCUGAUUGAGUUCAGUUGGGCUUAUUCCCAGAUAAGUGCAUACAGUAUUAGAGACCAAUUGCUUUUAUUUAUGGGGGUUAUUCUAAAUUGUACAUAACUCUGAAAAUCUCUGGUCUGAAAAAACCCCAGAAUAAUUUACUUAGUUGUUGUUAUUAAUAUUACUAUUAUCUUUAUAAAGGUAACUGGGAAUAUGUUUACCAUGAUUUUAAUGGCUUUUCCAGUGAGUGAAGAAAUGAAAAGGAAGCCGCUUUGCAUUCUGAAACUGCACCCAUUUUUGUAAUCUUUCAUUAAAGAGGAACUGCAUUUGCUAAUUAACUACAUACUAGCACGUCAAAGUAUUAUUAACAAAAGCUGAAAGUUAAUGGUAGUUCAUUAUUCCCCCAGCUAUCAAACUCCAUCCCCCAGGGAAUAUUAACUAGAAACAACCAUUUAAACCUUGCCAGCCAGAAUGUUAUUAACUCACACCCAAUAAGCAAUUCGAGUGGAUAUCCAGGCUGUCUGAGAAUUUGAAAAAUACCUAUGGGCUAUGGGCAGUUUAUAAUGAAAUCAAGGGGCAAUGUUCUACUCCUUUGAGCAAUACUAAAUAUCUGCUUACUAAAGAUUCUUGAAAGCUUGCCAGGAUGCAGCUCAAUGUUCAGGAGCUGAGAAAGUUUUCCUCAAAGAACAGCAUCGUAACCUCCAAAUUCUACUUCAGCUCAGAAUAAACUCUAAAACGCAGAAGUAUUCCCAGUUUACCACCCACCAACCCCCAGCCCUGAUUUCCUAAAAUGACAGCCUCACCCAGACAUUUCCUAGUGGUAAAAAGCUAUUAUUUGACACACAUGGAUAGUAAGAAUAAGAAUAAUAAGUAGUAGUAGUAGUUUAUUAUUUAUACCCUGCCCAUCUGGCUGAGUAGCCUCAGCCACUCUGNNNNNNNNNNNNNNNNNNNNNNNNNNNNNNNNNNNNNNNNNNNNNNNNNNNNNNNNNNNNNNNNNNNNNNNNNNNNNNNNNNNNNNNNNNNNNNNNNNNNGACGUCUUCUAAAAGUAACAUAGAUUUUUAUUUCUUUGAUAUCUGAUGGGAGGGUGUUCCACAAGGCAGGUGCCACUAACGAGAAGGUGCUGUGGGUUAAACCACAGAGCCUAGGACUUGCCGAUCAGAAGGUGGGCGGUUUGAAUCCCCGCAACGGGGUGAGCUCCCGUUGCUCGGUCCCUGCUCCUGCCAAUCUAGCAGUUCAAAAGCACGUCAAAGUGCAAGUAGAUAAAUAGGUACCGCUCCGGCGGAAAGGUAAAUGGCGUUUCCGUGUACUGCUCUGGUUUGCCAGAAGCGGCUUAGUCAUGCUGGCCACAUGACCCGGAAGCUGUACGCCGGCUCCCUCGGCCAAUAAAGCGAGAUGAGUGCCGCAACCCCAGAGUCGGUCACGACUGGACCUAAUGGUCAGGGGUCCCUUUACCUUUACCACCCUCAGCGAGGUUUGAGCCUUCAUGAACUCAUCAUUGUUGAGUGGUAUUUCUUUCUUUUGAAAACUAUGUGGGAUAAAAUACGGAAAGGUAAAAGAGCGGGAAUCCAACAUGGAUUCCACUUAUGCUUUGGCAAGGCUCUUUCGAAUGAAUUGCUGUGUCACUGAUAAAACACCUCAGUCUUUACAUUUCUGUUGCCAGAAUUAAAUAGCUUGCAAAUGGGGGGUGGGGGGGGGAUGUAUAAAAAUAUUAUGUUCUACCUAAUCGAAAGCAAGCUGCUUGCUGUUGAGGCCAGCUGGUGUUUGCAUUUGACAUCUGUCAAGUACAUUGGGGUAUUUUUUUCCCUGCAGCUUUUGGCAACAUGUUGGCUCAGAUUGACAUAUUACAGAUGAGAGCUGGGUGGGCCACAACUCAAAGAGCCCUGUAAGGUUGUGUGCAAGCAAUGUCUCCAUUUCUAACAACAAUUCCCCAUGCUGCAUUGCAAACUGCUUUUGAAACCCCACAGUGCUCGACAGGGACCUGUAAAGUUAUGCAUGGAGCCACUUCAUUGUAAGUGGCAUUUGUGUCGGGUGACGGAAAAAGCCACAUUUGGCUGCAUACCUGAGAUGGCCACUUCGCAUCUAGCUGAAAUGUUCUUUAAAAAACAAAAAAGCUUUGCACAUCACUGCCAUAUAUUAGAUGGGGGAAGAGAUGUAUCAAAUAAAUGUAGCUUUCCUGAAGGGAAAACAGGUGUAAAUCAGUUAAAAUGUUUGUCUGGGAGCUGUCAGUUUAUCACCUAGGUGAUGAUCCCUUUAUAUUUUUUACUUUGCCAUGUGAAACAUAAAACAAUUUGGCAUGACAGGAUGACAAAACGCUGCUUCUCCCAGCUGAAAUCUCCAGCCUCUCUGCGAUUACGACUCAGAUAUAUUUUACAUUUGAGAUUAGCAUCCACGAAUCCCAACUCCCAGCACUGAGGCAUUAAAUAGCUGUUUGUACAUUUGGCAAGGGAAUCUUGUCGUUAAGUUACAAAACGUACACAACAACAACAACAACAACAACAACCUGUACAAAAUGCAGACAAAUACUAUCUAAAAAGCAACUGGUAAUCAUACAGUCCAGGAUGCCUCACACUUUGCAUUUUGCAUGGGACACAUCAAUGGAAUAGAGCAGUUCUCUAAUCCAGCCUCUUGAUUUUACAGGUUAGCUUUUCAAAGGGGUCGAGCAAUGAAAACAAAUAUUUGCUCCAUAACACACAAUUCUUCCACUUACGAAGGUACCAUGGUAUUAACACAGUGCUUUGAAAGUCAGUUCAAAUAUCUGAGCCUGCAAUCCUUACCGUGUCUACUCAAAAGUAAGUCCCCUUGAAUCCAACAGGACUUACUUCCAGGUAAGUAGGGUUUGGGGUGCAACCUGAGUUAACCAACAGCCUACAGGCCUAGCAUUACAGGCAUCAUACAAACUUAGAAUAAGCAUUGUCAUUUUGAGUAAGUAGAGGCAAUCUCUAAGUUCAGGAGGAAAAGUGUGUACAUCAUCAGAAUGCAGGUGAAGGAAUCCAGACUUGGCUAUUCCUCCUCUUAAACACAUGUAAGCAGAGGGGGGGGCAGACAGGGAGAUUGAGAGGUGCAUAAACCAUCCCAUCAAGGAGAAGGCUAGGAUGGCACCUUUGUCCAUAAUAAAAUUGCUUUCCACAAGUAGAGCAUUUAGAUAAAUCAGAUUUAGUCAAAGAUGUGCUCUUGCAGCCUUCCUGAAAUCCCAGUGUGUUAGAUACUGGGAAAUCUACACAGAGAUGAAAGGACAGCUGUCACACUUCCCUAGUUGAACCAUUUUUGGUUACCAUAACCUUUGUUUUUGUUUUUCUGCUGGUAAGUCCUAGACAAACAGGUUUAGCAGAAAUGCUGUACUUGAUUGCCUAACAAGCGGCUUUUGUUUGAGAUUUGCAGGUUCUCUCUCCACACUGGGCUUCUUCAGGAGGACGAGUAGGCUAUAAAUUGAAUAAAUAAAUGAACUAUCAAUAACAUGCAGGAAAAAGGAUGAUGGGCACCUGGAAAACAUAGAGCCAGACAAAUCCUGCAUUAUUUCAGUGCCUAGCGUACUCUGGUCCAUGGGGUAACGAAGAGUUGGACACAACUAAAUGACUAAACAACAACAGAUAUGAAGCAGGGAACCAGUUCAGACUUGAUCAGAAAACUGAGUCUGGAAUUGACACUGGACUUCGCCUCUCCAGAGCAGUAAUAUAUUUGUCUACCUCACCACAGCAAAGAAAGCCAUAAGACACUAUGACCCAUUCUACUGGUGGGGAACCUGUAUGGCCCUCUAGAUUCCAGGUCCUUCUAGAAGUGGGGAGAAAUUCAAUUCGGUUCACAUCGGAAGCCAAACCUAUCUUCCGAAACAAUAAGUGAACCGAAACACAGCCAUUCCUCAAAAAUUGCACUUUUGCGAAUUUUGUGGUGCAAUUUUCCAACCAUGUUUUUAAUGCAUAUAUUAUGGGGGGAAAUGUACAUUAAAAUGAAUAUAUUAGUGAGAAACUGCAUCGAAAAAGCAUUAUAUUAAGCGAAGCUGCUUACAAAAAUUUGUACAUUAAUCAAAACUGCAUCUAAAAAAUGUGUUUGUAGGAGGACUACAGUGCUGAAGAAUUUUAAUGAUGGUUUUUUAAAAUGCAAAUGGCUGCAGAAAUUUGGGGAAGUGAGGUUGGAAGAAUCCUUAGCUGCCACCAGUAUGGGCAAUGCAUGGGGAUAAGAGCAACUGCAGUCCAAUGCACCCAACUACAUCCCUGGUCUGUUGCACUGACACUGCUGAGAACAACUGCAUUUUGGCUUCUUCUCUCAGCACAACUGUCUCCCUCAGUGUCCAUCCCACCUGGCCAUUAAAUACUUAUAUAACUUUAUGAAGAAAGCAGUGUCUGGAUUUACUUGUUUUGAUUUGAUUUCAACUUAUUAUAUUUCUAUAUUUCAAAUGAAUCCGAAAGCAUCUUAAACAAUAACGUGACAGAACGCAACAGAGUACAGUGGUACCUCGGGUUAAGUACUUAAUUGGUUCCAGAGGUCUGUUCUUAAGCUGAAACUGUUCUUAACCUGAAGCACCACUUUAGCUAAUGGGGCCUCCUGCUGCCACUGCGCCGCCGGAGCACGAUUUCUGUUCUCAUCCUGAAGCAAAGUUCUUAACCCGAGGUACUAUUUCUGGGUUAGCGGAGUCUGUAACCUGAAGUGUAUGUAACCUGAAGCUUAUGUAACCCAUACAGCACAUAUACAGCAAAUUUGUUUUUCUGCCUCCAUCCCUUUUUCCUGAAUGCUUAACCUGAGACUGAAGGUUCAGUGAACUCAGUGGGAAUUCACUUCCGAUUAUUACAUGCAUAGGGUGAUCAGGCUGUACACCUCGGAGCUUGUAAGCAGAUAGUAUUCUGAAACUUAAAACCCCAACUUUGGAAAACUAUGAAGCAAACAACAUAUUGUUGUUUUAUAUAGUUCCGCGGCAGAAUAAAACUUUCUUUUUAUGAGUCCAUUCUUCAAAGAGAGUUUGGCCAAAAUGCCAUUGUGACAUUCCGCAGCAAUGAAAAGCGAUCCAUCUUUGCUUUGUACCUUAACCAGGCAAGGUAUCCAUUCAUUAUUUCCUCCCAAACAGGAUCUUCUGGAGUGCUACAUUUGAAAGUCCCCUUUAUCUUCAUUAAAGUGUCAUGCAAGCCGACAAAACUUUGUCAUUGAAUUCCAGCAGUUCCGUGAGGCUAACAAGUUCUGAAAGUUUUCAGAAAGAAGCAAUAUUUGCCGAAAACCCAGAACACAGUAAAUGAUUUCUCAGGCAGUUUCUCAAGGGUAUCUUUAUGGCUGUGUUGCUCUGAAAUUGAGAAAAAUCAAAUGCGACUACAAGAGUGGCUUUUCUCCCCAUCACUUCCCAGAAGAAGUGCUACUUUGUUUUAGGUUGUAAAAAGAGCGAAUUAGGAUUAUAUAAUAAAGACUUCUAGAGCGCACAACCUCUCUGGAAGGAAAGAGCAAAAUAAUGCAGGCUUAUGACUCCAAAUUGACUUAUCUCUUCACCUCUUCCUCUGUUUGUGCAGUGAAAUUGAGCGUAACUAAGAAGAGGAAGCUUUAUGCAAGUUCAUGUAUGAUCCAUGAUUCUCAGGGAAACUGAGCUACCAGGAGGGCAAAAGAUCAGCAGAAUGCUAACACGGAGACAGAGCACAGCCGUGCCAAUGGCUUUGCCCUUCAUUAACCUAAAGCUGUCGGUGCACACAUAUCACCUUGCAAGCAUUUACUCACUUCUCAGACUGCCAAGUCCAAGGAAUCAUUCUGGAAAUGCUCCAGCUAUCCCCCCCUGGAAAAAAUGCACAGUAUUAUCACCCUUAUUUGAAGAGGUAUGCUUUCCUUAUUUUAAAAACUGUUUUCUCCCCUCUAUUCCAGAGUUUCCAAAUUCCAGUGUCCCUUGGAACAGAAGCAGGAAGGGCAAGGAAAUGUGAGUGUUUCAAACAACCAAAGCAUACUUUAUUCUUAGCUUUCAUCAAGGAGAGCCAGUGUGGUGUAGUGGUUAAGAGUGAUAGACUCGUAAUCUGGGGAACCGGGUUCGCGUCUCCGCUCCUCCACAUACAGCUGCUGGGUGACCUUGGGCUAGUCACACUUCUUUGAAGUCUCUCAGCCCCACUCACCUCACAGAGUGUUUGUUGUGGGGGAGGAAGGGAAAGGAGAAUGUUAGCCGCUUUGAGACUCCCUAUGGUAGUGAUAAAGCGGGAUAUCAAAUCCAAACUCUUCUUCUUCAAGGGUGCAGUCAGGAGGUGCAGAGGGACAGCUGCCCCUCAAUCAAGUAAAUAAAUAAAAAUACUUAACUAACUGACCAAUUGUGUUGCAGAUAACUCGGUUCUGCCUCCUCCAACAUAAAGUCUGCCUCCCUAAAAUAAAUCUGGCUGCGCCCAUGGCUUUCAUAGUAUAAAAUUAAGUUUUUGCAUGCCCAAGAAAAGAAAGAAGAAGUAAAAUCUGCACACACACACACACUCAAAAAUCAAUCAAGUGAAUUUUGUGAGAUGAGCAAGCUCGGCUGAUCACCACUCUUCUGUGCUCAUAGCCCAAUUAGUGAAGUCAGAGCUAUGACUGACAAAUGAGUUGUUAGGAAUCCCUGUGGUCCUAACUAGCUGUCAUUUCCUGCUUCUGUCUCAUUUUGAGAUUUUCACCCUAGCAAGCAGAAUACAUCUUUCCAGGGGUGGGCUUGUCUGAGAUCAUGUACACAUUAUUUUCUGUAAGUACUUCUACACAGUGACUGUGGGUGGAAGCUAAUGAUUAUCCCUCCACCUACAUGGCAAAAGCAAAAUAUGAAAACCUGGCUAAUAGGCUUAGGUAUGUCUUCUGCUGUAUAGGAACUAAUGCCCAGGCACAUUAAGAAUUUGCCAUAUAGUUAACUUGCAGUGCUAUGGUAUGCAUGUCUACUCAAAAGAAAAACUUUGUUUGUUUAAUGAGGUUUAGCCCUGUGCAACUUAAAGUGUGUAAAUAGUUGUCUUAUCAGACCAGAUUAAAAUUUAUGGAAGCUUGAGAACUGUACUAAAGUUGAGGUGGGGGGACAUUGACUUUUUUAGUACAAAUAGGCAUCACACUGAUUAAAGGAAGAAAAAUCUGAUGCCUAUGAUACAAGCUUUAACUCCUCUUUUGUAGCGAUUUUAUCACUGCAGAUGGUGAGAGCAGUCACGAAAUUAAAAGAUGCUUGCUUCUUGGGAGAAAAGUGAUGACAAACCUAGACAGCAUCUUAAAAAGCAGAGACAUGACGUUGCCGACAAAGGUCCAUAUAGUUAAAGCUAUGGUUUUCCCAGUAGUGAUGUAUGGAAGUGAGAGCUGGACCAUAAAGAAGGCUGAUCGCCGAAGAAUUGAUGCUUUUGAAUUAGGGUGCUAGAGGAGACUCUUGAGAGUCCCAUGGACUGCAAGAAGAUCAAACUGAUCCAUUCUUAAGGAAAUCAGCCCUGAGUGCUCACUGGAAGGGCAGAUCCUGAAGCUGAGGCUUCAGUACUUUGGCCACCUCAUGAGAAGAGAAGACUCCCUGGGAAAGACCCUGAUGUUGGGAAAGAUUGAGGGCACAAGGAGAAGGGGGCAACAGAGGACAAGAUGGUUGGACAGUGUUCUUGAAGCUAUUAACAUGAGUUUGACCAAACUGUGGGAGGCAGUGGAAGACAGGAGUGCUUGGCGUGCUCUGGUCCAUGGGGUCACAAAGAAUCGGACACGACUAAACAACAACAUAUCUUCACAGCAGGUAUGUGAGGUAGGUGAGGCUGAGAGUUUGUGACAGGCUCAAGGCAAUAAAUCUAUGAGUUACGUGGAACAAAGGGCCCAAUCCAUAUACUGCAUACUGGGCCCAGAAAAUCCUGUUGGCUUACCUGCAUGGGGUGGCUUACUCAGGUUAGAAGUCAGGCAGGAGAGAAAGGCAUUUUCACAUUCCAGAGUUGCAUGUCAAGGCCCCAGGUCCCACAGCUCCCUUAGAUAAUAAACACAUGGACACAAUUAUUUUUGGUUUAUGGGAUAAAUUAGGCUACAACUUUAUUGAUUACAGAUGUGAGCGGUUUGGCUUAGGCAUUGGGUGAAACCAAGCUGUAUCCUGACUCCUGCCUGUCUGCAGGGAGUCCACGGAUGGGUAAACCAUCAGUGGGGGAAACCCUAUGACAUAUGUCAAAUCGAGGCACCCCACGGUGUCCCUGUGGGGUCAUGGCAUGGCCCUAGCCCAUGUCCAGGCUUCGGACAGGAUCCUCACCCCUGGAUCCCUUUAAAAGGAUACCCUUAUCAAGGAGGGGCAGGCGGAUGCUACAACCUCUCCACUGUAAACAAAGGCUUACCCAAUUGCUAACCUUACAAAGUUGUGAUGAUUGCUACAGUGUAGGCGAAAACUAAAUGGCUGGUGCCAAUUUGCCCCCAGCCAUGCCCGAUUGGACAGCCAGGGGAAUGACGUAGCUGUGCAUCAGUGUGAUGCGGGCGGCAUCCCUCCACCUCCCAGCAGGAUCACUGAAGGUCACAGAUGCCCAGCCACAACACCACCCUCCUGGGAAGGUGAGGAGAAUUCCUAUGCUGGCAAAUGCAGUGGAUUGACAUAUACAGGAGACAGCAAAUGCCAGUUGUGAUAUUCUUGCCUUCUAUGCUUCAGCAUUUGCUUUGGACACUUUCCUAGAGGCUAGCAGCACAUUGAAAAUGACAAUAAGGCUGAACCCUUCAGGAACACUGGCCAUGGUGUGCAUGUCUGCAUAUAUAACAGUCACAGCUGUUACUAUUUAGGAUUCUUCAAAAUUGCUAUUGAAUUUCCCUUUUUGCUACAUGCCUUGAGACUGGUAGAGCUGAAGGGAAACAGUAACAAAUAUGGUGUUUAAUAGGUCGUUUAAACUCACAGACAUGUUUAAUUUACCAUAUUUUUCGCUCUAUAACAUGCACCCGACCAUAACACGCACGUAAUUUUUAGAGGAGGAAAACAAGAAAAAAAAUAUAUUCUAAACGAAACAGUGGAUGUAUGAUUUUUGUGGUUCAUGCUGUGGCCACAGACAUGUGAUCUGACAGUGAGUUUGGAGUAGCCCAAUGCAAAAAUCCUGAGGAUCCAUGUGGAUCCAUGCUUUGUAACCAUGUUUUUGCACCCCAGGCAACAGUGGGUGCGUGAUUUUUUUGGUGCAAGAUGUAGCCAUGGACAUGCUAUGUGAUCUGAUGGUGAAUUUGGGCUGACCCAGUGCAAAAAUCCUGAGGAUCCAUGUGGAUCCGUGCUUUGUAACCACAUUUUAAGUGGGGAGGGAAGGAAAAGCACUCAAGGGACAAGGAGCACGCGCGGGGUGUGUGGAGAAGGAUGCUGCUAAUAAUGCAGAAGAGGGGUAUAAGGGGAGAAGGCUCCUCUCAUCUCCCACUUUGCUCCUUUAAAGCAAGCAGGCUCUUCUUUUCUCCCUCCUCCCCGCUCAUCCCCGGCUUAGCAAGCUGAAAAGCUUUGCUGCUAUUUAGCGAGCUGAGUGGGGAGGAGAGAGGGACAGAAAGCCUGCUUGCUUUAAAGGAACCAACCGGACAGGAGCCGCUUACACUUGUGUAAGCGGCUCCUCUCCUCUCCCGCUUUGCUCCUUUAAAGAAGCAGGCUCUCUGUCCCUCUCUCCUCCCCACUCAGCGGCUCUUCUCCCACUUUGCUGUUUCAAAGUGAGCCACGGAGGAGAGAAGGAAGGGGAACCAUGGAUCCUCUGCUCACGACUGCAGCAGAUCCCCCCGCCACCCGUAGGCAUUCCCUCCAUAACACGCACAGACAUUUCCCCUUACUUUCUAGGAGGAAAAAAGUGAGUGUUAUGGUGCAAAAAAUACGGUACUUGGGAAUAACUGCAGAACUUUCCUCCGCAGUAUAAUAAUAUCCAGUUUCCAAUCUAUAGGAAAUGUGUGUGGGCUGGGUUGAGCAAGCACAUGCAUAUAUGUACAAUCUCCCUCACGCCGAACAUAGAUUGUACAGCAAGCAGCAAAUUCCCACAGUUCUCCCUGGGCACAAACAUUAUCCUUUUUUUUAUUAAUACCAACAUCAAUUCACGAAGAAGUCUGCCAGCCACUUCCAUCUGCCCAUAUCCACCACUGAUCACCAGUUUAAGCUUUCUCAAUUUAGGGAGGGAAAUGGAAUUAUUUUUCAUUGCCUUCUGCCCAAGCCACUGGCAGCCAUAUCAACAUUUCCAUCUGCUCUUUCCCCCCCAGCUUAAUCCCACCCAGAUUUAUAUUUACAGGAUUCUCAUUUAAAAAGUGUGUGUGUGUGUGUGUAAAGCGGGGACUUAUUUAAGCAACGCAACAUGUGCCAUCCAGAGGCAGACCUCCCACUUACUUAGAAAAACAAACAACAGCAAGCCACACAAAAUUCUGUGCAUAUGCAAGUUCAACAAAUCAUAUGUCUGGACACUGUCUGAAAAUUGCUAAUGUGAUCACACACCCCGACACAAAAAAAAUUCCCUUAGAAACAGGGAUAUCAGAACACCUUCAUCACUGAACCGACAAUACACUCUGUAGUUUAUUCAGAGCUGGGCUGGAGGCAACAAAAUAAGAUGUCGACACAUACAUCUUCCAAUUGUCACCUUGCAUCACAUUGCACUUUUCGAGCAGUGCAGAAUGGUGACAGUUCCUCCCGCAGUUGAAGGCUGCAAUUGUGGUUUCAUUACAAUCUUGAUUUCCCCCCCUUUUGCCCAUCCAAACCACUUCAUUUUGUUUUUAAAUUGGUAGGUUAUUUUUUGAGGCCAAUAUAUCAGGAACCCCCGCAAAAAGAAACUUGAAAUAAACUGAAUGGUGAAUGGCUCAAAUUGUAUUUUCUUAUGCGCCGGUCCAAAAACAUAUGCUAUUUUCUGACCAACAGCCAACAACUGAGGGGGAAGGGAAUCCACAUGCACCCACACACACACACAAAAACAACAAUGAAAGACAAACACACCAAAACAGACUAAGCCUGCUUUCCUGUAGUCUCCUAAGACAGAACUCUUGCCUGGGAACUGCUUUCUUACUACAGUAGUACCUUGGUUUACAAACUUAAUCAGAUCCGGAAGUCCGUUCUUAAACCAAAGCAUUCUUAAACCAAGGUGUGCUUUCCCAUAGCAGUGGGGGACUCAAUUUACAAAUGGAACACACUCAACAUGUUCUUAUUCCAAAGCAAAGUUCACAAACCAAAACACCUACUUCCGGGUUUGCAGCAUUUUUAAUCCAAGUUGUUCAUAAACUAAGCUGUUCUUAAACCAAGAUACCACUGUACUGACUUAAAUUAAGACAUGCUGAAAUAAGGUUGCCAAAAUGGUGCCCUCUAGAAGCUCUUAGACUGCAACUCCCAUGAGCUGAUAGUCAGGGAUGAUGUGAGAUGCUGUGUUGACCCUGGAUAGGAACAUUAGAAGACUGGAGUGAAAACUAGAUGUUAUGAUACAGGAUGCAUGUGUCAGGGACUGGGCAGAGCAGGAGGAGUGGGGGAGACCGCUUCCCCAUCCUGACCGUGCCAGGGAGGAGGAAGAGGAGGUCCAGUAUAAUUGAAGGAGCGUCUUCACCCCCAUUGUUCAGCCCAGACACUGAGGUCCAGCACCGAGGGCGUUCUGGCGGUUCCCUCACUGCGAGAAGUGAGGUUACAGGGAACCAGGCAGAGGGCCUUCUUGGUAGUGGCACCCGCGCUGUGGAAUGCCCUCCCACCAGAUGUCAAAGAGAAAAACAACUACCAGACUUUUAGAAGACAUCUGAAGGCAGCCCUGUUUAGGGAAACCUUUAAUGUUUAAUAGAUUGUUGUAUUUUAAUAUUCUGUUGGAAGCUGCCCAGAGUGACUGGGGAAACCCAGCCAGAUGGGUGGGGUAUAAAUAAUAAAUUAUUAUUAUUAUUAUUAUUAUUAUUAUUAUUAUUAUUAUUAUUUACAACAAGGGUUUGUGGGAGGUCACAGCUCAGAGGCAGGUGAGGGGAAAAGUUGGGAAAUAAUGGGAGAGAAGGAGGAGGCAGAACCGGGGCAGCAGCUGGCUGAAACGUCAUUAGAAAGCAUUCCAGACCUACAAUCUCCCAGAACCCGGUGAGCCUUAGAAGUAGGAGAGCAAAGAGCUCAAAGACAUAGUGGCACCCGUGGAGGAAAUGAUGAGGAUGAUGAAUGAGGAAGAGACAGGGGAGGGUGGAGAUUCACUCAGGACAACACCAUUAUCCAAAAGGCUGGGUUCUAAAAAAAAACCUUUUCCUUGUCUUUAUAAUUUCCUAGGCAACCAGCCGGGAGCCACUGACAACACCCUAACAGCAUGGCUGCUCCCAGAAAAAGCAGCCCAAUGUGUCAACCCCUUUGGUUAUCUGGUAGUACAAAACAUAUGAAGAUGUGGCAUCAUCACCAUCUCAGUUCAAUGUGAUUGGGUGCUCCUCGUGGAGGCAGACAGACUUUGAACAUGAUAGCAUACAUUUUGUUAUUACUGGAUAUUACCAGGGAUAGAACAAGGAGGAGACCCACAUCUGCUUCUCUUGCCAAGUGUUCCUAAUCCAGGAGGCGGAGCUGUGGUCUAAACCACUAAGCCUCUUGGCUUGCCGAUCGGAAGGUUGGUGCUUUGAAUCCCUGCGACAGGUUGAGCUCCCAUACCUCUGUCCCAGCUCCUGCCAACAUAACAGUUCAAAAGCAUAUCAGCGUGAGUGGAUAAAUAGGUACUGCUGCGGCAGGAAGGUAAACGGCAUAUCUGUGUGCUCUGGCACUUGUCGCAGUAAUAAUAAUAAUAAUAAUAAUAAUAAUAAUAAUAAUAAUAAUGUAUUAUUUAUACCCCACCAAUCUGGCUGUGUUUCCUCAGCCACUCUGUGUGGCUUCCAACAAAACAUUAAAAUACAAUAAUUCAUCAGAUAUUAAAAACUUCCAUAAACAGGGCUGCCUUCAGAUGUUUUCCAAAAGUCGGAUAGUUGUUAAUUUCCUUGACAUCUGAUGGAAGGGUGUUCCACAGGGCAGGCGCCACUACUGAGAAGGCCCUCUGCUUGGUUCCCUGUAACUUUGCUUCUCACAGUGAGGGAACCGCCAGAAGGCCCUUGGAGCUGGACCUCAGUGUCCGGGCAGAAAGAUGGAAGUGGAGACGCUCCUUCAGGUAUACAGGACCGAUACUGUUUAGGGCUUUAAAGGUCAGCACCAACACUUUGAAUUGUGCUCGGAAAUGGACUGGGAACCAGUGUAGGUCUUUCCCUGUUUAGGGAAGCUUUUAAUGUUUAAUAGACUAUUGUAUUUUAAUAUUCUGUUGGAAGCCGCCCAGAGUGGCUGGGGAAACCCAGCCAGAUGGGCGGGGUAUAAAUAAAUUAUUAUUAUUAUUAUUAUUAUUAUUAUUAUUAUUUCAAAUCCGGUGUUAUGUGGUCUUGGCAGCCGCUCCCAGUCACCAGUCUAGCUUCCGCAUUCUGAAUUAGUUGUAGUUUCCGAGUCACCUUCAAAGGUAGCCCCAUGUAGAGUGCAUUGCCAUAGUCCAAGCGGGAGAUAACUAGAGCAUGCACCACUCUGGCGAGACAGUUCGCGGGCAGGAAGGGUCUCAGCCUGCGCACCAGAUGGAGCUGGUAGAGAGCUGCCCUGGACACAGCAUUGACCUGCACCUCCAUGGAUAGUUGUGAGUCCAAAAUGACUCCCAGGCUGCGCACCUGCUCCAGAAGCAGUUUAAUCAUGCUGGCCUCAUGACCCGGAAAGCUGUCUGUGGACAAACGCCAGCUCCCUCGGCCUGAAGUGAGAUCAGCGCCGCACCCCCAUAGUUAAGUUUGACUGGACUUAACCAUACAGGGGUCCUUACCUUUACCUUAACCCAUUGUGAUGUCAAGUUGUGACUACGGAUGGAAGAGAAUUCUGUUGAAAACAGAAACAGGAGUGGAAUUUGCCAACAUUUGCUUAUUCAUCCCAUGUCUGAAACGGAAAUAAAUCUAGUAUAUAUUAUCAGUAUUUGUUGUUAUUAUUGCUUUCAGUCUGCAAACAAUAUGCAAUUGAUUUCCUUCCCAUCCCCUUUGCGUUGAAAUGAAUUGGGUGGAGUGUACCUUGUGUAAUUUACACAAUUACUCACAUUGAGUUACAUAAUUUUGCCACAGUGGACAGUUCUUGGGUAGAUUCUGCCAUAGUUUUGGGCAGAAGACAAACCGCAGUGGAAAGGAAGCACUGCUCCAUACGACAAAAACAGAGCAAAAUGGAAAGCAGUGUCUUCUCGUGUUUCUUGCUCCAACAUGAUUUUACAGUUAUUCAACACAAAAACAAAAUCUUCUAGCAUUUGUCACUGAAGGCACAGAUGCAAAAAUGUAACCCAACAACUAGUUUGCUAGUAGAAACAAAGACCCUGACAAAGGACAAAUAUUGAUAACACAGUAUUGCAGGAAAGAAAAUAGCACCAUAAGUAGUGUCUGUCUAGAAUGAGACCGAGGUGUGUUGAGCCCAGCAUUCUUGCCUCCAGAAUUUGGGAUGCUGCUAAUUCAUCUAUCUUGCCUUUCAGAUUUCUAAUAUUAGAAUAAAACUAGGGCAGAAAGCUUUAACCCAUCCAAUCAGUGGAGUGAUCAGCAAAAGCUUUAGCUGAUUAAUCAGUGGGGGCCAACUGUAAUCAGUGAGGGUAAUUUUGUGUGUGUGAUGAUGCAGGCUAAAUACACAUUUGCUUAUCUUUGAGGGCAACUUUGGUUAUGGUGUAUUAUUACAACAGAGAAUUAUUAUUUUAUUUAAGCCAUGCAUCAGAGGGACUUCCAAAAAAAUAUGGAGUAGCUUUUGUUAAUUGCAUUGCAACUUAGUUUGCAUUUUCUUUGCAAUAUAAAAGAAGGAACCAGUCUGGGUAACAUGUAUGUUUUAAAAACACACAUGUGGUUAUUCGCUGUGAAGGACCCAAGAAGUCAACAAUGUGGGAAGGAGCCUGGUCCAGAGGACCCUGAAUUUUUUUCUGGGAUGGGAGAAAAAGAGAUGUGUGGCCUAGUAGGAGAGAGAGAGAGAGACUGAGUUCUCCACAUUUCCACCUCCAUUUUAUACACACACACACACACACACACACACACUUAAAAUCCUAAUGAAAAUUCAUAAUAAUUUAAGCAUUUCAAUCAAGGCAUACAUUUUAUGCAAUUGUGUCUAAAAUACAUUUUUGUAAAGUAUUUCUAUUAUUAUUAUUAUUAUUAUUAUUAUUAUUAAAAUGUAUAUACCACCCUUCAUCUGUAGAUCUCAGGGUGGUUCACAACAUAACAAAUAUAUAACGUAUUUUAUGUUAUUUUCACUAAUAUAUGCAUUUUUAUGCACACUUUCCUUUAGUACAUGGGGGGGGGCAUGUUACUUGACUGGAGAACUGCACUGCAAAAUUCAGAGAAGUGCAAUUUUCUUAAAAAACAAAGUUAAGCACAUUUUUAUUAGUUUUGAAACAAAAUUACAGCCCUCACCCCAUGCAACCAAUUGACAGGAUUCUGGUGAUAAUUAUGUGGUUCUCUUCUCUUCUCUUCUCUUCUCUUCUCUUCUCUUCUCUUCUCUUCUCUUCUCUUCCCUCCCUCUCUCUCUCUCUCUCUCUCUCUCUCUCUCUCUCUCUCUCUUCCCUUCCCUCUCUCUGUUACAAUAAUCCAGGGGUCAGCAAACUUUGUCAGCAGGGUCCACUGUCCCUCAGACCUUCGGGGGGGGGGGCAGAUUAUAUUUUUGGGGGGAAAUGAACGAAUUCCUACAAAUAAUGCCCCACAAAUUCUUACAAACGAAUGCCCCACAAAUAACCCAGAAAUGCAUUUUAAAUAAAAGGACACAUUCUACUCAUGUAAAAACAUGCUGAUUUCCGGACCGUCCACAGGCCAGAUUGAGAAGGCUAUUGGGCUGGAUCCGGCCCCCAGGCUUUAGUUUGCCUACCCAUGCAAUAAUGCAAUAUAACUUACUGUUAGACAGUUAUUCAGAAGUACAAUUCAGGAGAAUCUAAUGUUACUCCAGUUUGUUUGUACAGAUGGUCGGGGCACAAGGAAGUUACAGAAAAUCAUGGAGAACAUAUUUGUGAAACUGCAGGUGGCAGGGUGCUUUCCCACCAUAUGGCAUGAAACUUCAUGGUUUUUUGGUUCCUUUUAUUAUCCUUAUUUUGUGUGGUACUUUUUUUGCUAUAACUAUAUGCCAGAUGCCUCAACCCACAGCGAACUUUGACUGGACUUAAAUAUCCAGGGGUCCUUUGCCUUACUUUUACCUUACCAAAGUUCAAUACAGUGGUACCUCGGGUUACAUACACUUCAGGUUACAUACACUUCAGGUUACAGACUCUGCUAACCCAGAAAUAGUGCUUCAGGUUAAGAACUUUGCUUCAGGAUAAGAACAGAAAUCAGGCUCCGGCAGCGUGGCGGCAGCGGGAGGCCCCAUUAGCUAAAGUGGUGCUUCAGGUUAAGAACAGUUUCAGGUUAAGAACAGACCUCAGGAACGAAUUAAGUACUUAACCCGAGGUACCAGUGUACUCAAAUCUUGCAAUUCCUUCCAAUUUUUUUAGCAAUAAAUAGCCUUGCUGCUACUAACAAAAAAAAUGUAAUUAAUUCUUCAUGUCCCAAUUUGGCCCUUCAAACAUGUGCUGCAAAGCCUAUUGAUUCAUGGGUUAUUUUUUCGAUCUCAUCAUGCUCCUUUCUCACCCUCAAAUCCCUGUGCAAUUGAGUCAUGCGUUCCCCUAUGCCUAUUACUUCACCAAGAAAGAAGAUGCAGACGUACAGCAAACCAGCCUGCCAGGUCUCAUAGCCUUUGCAGACAUGGGACGGACACUGCGGCAAGGAGAUGUCUUGUCUGCGCCCAGGCAAAUGCACAAAAAAUAUUUAUACAGAGAGCAGCAUACAUCACUUUGGCCAGGACUUCCCGUUGCUUCACCUGACCAGAUGAGGGCAUAGUUGGCAAAUACCAAAUCUUACAGAUAGCUCAGAGCCUAGCACUCCUAAACCCAUAGAUAAGGGUAACAUCAAAGCAAGGGAAUAUAAAAAUAUAUGAGCUCAUUGCUACAACAACUAGAAAUUAAUUGUGGUGUUAUCUUAACUACGUACCAAGAUGGCAUUAGCAAAGCUUCCAGAACAGUUCAUCUUUUGCUCAACACAGCAUCUAUUUUUUAUUUUUGGUGGAAAUGCGGCGGUGGUGGUGGGGGAGGACAGCAUCCAUUUUCUUGAUUCCAUUCUCUUACAUUCCGCAAUGGGCGAUAAAAGAAGUCACCCAAACCAUACUGUUGUUAUUUUCAACAUGUAUAUUAGCAUUGAGGGCUAAGAAAAUAUGGCAGAAUUGAGAGUCUUGUAAGCACCCAAGUCCUAAAUCACUAAUAUUGACUUUGAGCUGCUCUUGAGAGAUUGGAUGGUCAUUUUUUGAAUAUAAAAGAAAAUCUCAAACUCUAUGAUAAUUCCCCCUGGUCAGGAGCUAUACUUCUUCUUAACGUCUCACAGAUGAAGGAUGACACAUCAGUGGAAUUAACAGGGAGAAAACUGGAGAUAAGUAACAACAGCCUGAAAUCUUUUGCAUGCCUGAAACCUAAUAAUAGUGAAAGUGGUUUGGAGUUGUUUCAUAAAUGGCUGUUGUCUAAAAGGGUUGUGCCCAUAUCAGGCUUUCUUUUAACAUUUUUGCCUACAAAAAACUGACAUGCCAGAUAUGAGCAACCAGCAGGAAUUCAAACCACUUUCAUUUCUACAGUAGUUGUCAACCAUUCCUUGACUUCAUAAAACAAGAAGACAAAGUUCAAAACCCACUUUUGACACAGGGUAAUCUGUGGAGAGACCUACUAAAUGAACCUCAGGAAAGGGAGAUAUUGACAAAUGACGCUGUGGUGAUUUUAAAGUUUUUAAAACAAUUAUUGUUCUUUUAUUGUUUUAUCUCAUAUACAUAACAGUAUACACACACACACACACACACACACACACACACACAAAAACACCACCAUUUUUGCCUUCAAGUGUGAAUUUCAAAGGAUGAUUUGUAUAUCAUUUCGGAAAGUGGAAACUGGGUAGGUUAUUGAUUUUGUUUGUUACUAUAUAUUUUUGGCCACCUCAUGAGAAGAGAAGACUCCCUGGAAAAGGCCCUGAUGUUGGGAAAGAUGGAGGGCACAAGGAGAAGGGGAUGACAGAGGAUGAGAUGGUUGGACAGUGUUCUCGAAGCUACCAGCAUGAGUUUAACCAAACUGCGGGAGGCAGUGGAAGACAGGAGUGCCUGGAGUGCUCUGGUCUAUGGGGUCACGAAGAGCCGGACACGACUAAACAAAAACAACAUAUAUUUUUUUGCUUUUAUAUGGUCAACCGCCCUGCGAUCCUCGGAUGGAGGGCAGUUCAGAGAUUUAAUAAAUAAGAAUGACAGGUUCUCCUUUAAAUGUGAACUGAAUGCAAUUUCUCCGCCAACCCUAGCUGGAACACCAUUCCAAAGUGACAGCUUCUCCCAAAAUAUUUCUUCCUCUCAAUACAUAACCCUUUCCAGUUUUCACUUGAUCAGCUGCUCUACAUUUUAAGCCACAGGGCAGCCUAGUUCCAUUGUAACUGAUGAUAGUUUAAAUGUUUCUGAGAUGGACAUCUCUAAAGAUGAGCUGAAGAACUGUAGCGCCUCUUUUCCAAGAGCUAUGAGAAGACACAUGGGACUCCUGUUUUCUGCCAGACUCUCCUCCUAAGCUGUACACAGCUCAGAGUACCUUCCCCCUGACAGUGAGUAUUAGGUUCAGGGUACGGCCAUAGAAAACAAGCUUUCCAAGAUAGGCUUAGAAGAAAUGCUUGGAUCGACACACAUAGUCCUGUAGAUGAGAACAGAGGAUCCAAAUGAGUAAGAAGUGAUCCAAGUGAGCAUUAGAAUAAUGGCAAGAAAUGUGGCUCAUGUCUUAUGAAUACAGCAGCAUGGCUGACAGGAACUGGAAGGGAAUUGAAGAGAGCACAGAACAGGAGGUUAACCAACCCUUGGUGACUCCAAGCACUUUUGCAUGUGUUUCUCGAAGAGCUUUUUCUUCCCUCGGCACAUGCUGAGCUGUUCCUGAAAGCUGAUUGAAAUACUUCUAAAGCAGAGCAGCUUACGAAGCAGAAUGGAGAUCAGUUGUUCAAAGACAAAAGGCAAACAUCUAUAAGCACACGUCUUUUGGGAUCUUCCAAAGCAGCUCUUUAGAUUCUCCUAUGUCCAAGAUUAGAUUAAUUCCCGACAAGAACUUCAGAAGUUCGGGGAGGUUAAAAAGAUCUCCAAAAGUAACAAAAAUGAAUCCCUUGGGAAGAAGAAGAAGAAGAAGAAGAAGAAGAAGAAGAAGAGGAGUUUGGAUUUGAUAUCCCGCCUUUCACUCCCUUUAAGGAGUCUCAAAGCAGCUAACAUUCUCCUUUCCCUUCCUCUCCCACAACAAACACUCUAUGAGGUGAGUGAGGCUGAGAGACUUCAGAGAAGUGUGACUGGCCCAAGGUCACCCAGCAGCUGCAUGUGGAGGAGCGGAGAUGCGAACCCGGUUCCCCAGAUUACGAGACUACCGCUCUUAACCACUACACCACACUGGCUCUCUAGUGUGGACUAGAGAUGGACGUUUGAAGAUCCUGGGAUCACAAUAAAUGCUUGUGCAGAUCUGAAGGUGCAAAGGUACCUGGAACAUUUUCUAGCCCCAUGCAACAUGGGUUCUGAAUUGCAAGCAUUCAUGAGAGAUGGCCAUCCAGCUUUGGCUUAAGCACUUAUUUCUAUUUAUUCAGAGAUUUCUACACCCAGACCAAUCAUGUCGGUCUCAAGACAGUGCACAACAAUGUCAAAGUUCAUGUGAAACACUAUGAUCACAAAGGUAAAAAGAGCAACUCAGGGCAGACUUAGAGAAUACUUCCAUAGAAUGAAAAUGUAUCAGUUAAUCUGGGGAAAAAUGGGUUCAGGGGAGAGAAAACAGCAGAGGAAAAUCCCAAUUAUUUUUCCCAGUGUACUCCUGUGUUGCAAAUGUGGCCCUGUCUACACACAACACUUGGAACAGUUUAGGGGUACUCUUAUUUUGACUCAAGAAAAUCACCAUUUUAUUGUUCAAAUCAGGAAAAAUAAAUACAGUAAAUGGACAAAAGUACAAAGAUUCACAAAAUGUGCAGGGGUAUGCGUACCCCUGUGUACCCCCAGAAGAAAAGAAACACUGCCACUUUCAAUAGUCAUGGCUUCCCCCAGGGAAUCAUGGGAACUGUAGUUUGUUAAGGUUGGUGAGAGUUGAUAGGAGACCCCAAUUCCACUCACAGAAGCCACUGUUCUUAGGAUGGUUUAACAGUUAAUAUGUGUUCCCAAGGAACUUUUGAACUGCUUUAAAUGUAUAGUAGUUCAGAUGUGGCCUGUGUCUGUAUCUCCUCCCUGCAUUUUCAAAGAAUCUAGCAUUUGAAUCCUCCAGAAGCUUUUCGGACUUAUAAGAAACUGGAGAUUCUGAAAUUAGAUUGGCACACAUGAACGGGGUCGUGUCAACUAACAUGGACAAGUCGCAAAGUCAAAACAUCACAAAAGAUGGCAGACUACCUAAAACCUUUUUUGAAAUGACUGACAAUAUGGACUUGAUCGACAUUUGGAGAACAAAGAACCCACUAGGUAGAGAAGGAACAUUCUUUUCUGAAGCCCAACUGACCUGGACAAGAAUCGACCAAAUAUGGAUCUCUAGAGGCCUGGCACCUAGGGUUAGAAAAGUGGAAAUCUGCCCAAAGACCUGUUCUGACCACAACGCAGUAAAGAUGGACAUGACACUACUACCAACUGGAUCCUUUAGAUGGAAGAUGAAUGACAAUUUGUUUAGAGAUCAGGAAAUUACCAAGAAGGCCCAAAAAGUUUUGAAAGAUUAUUUUGAGAUAAAUAUGAACAAUUCGGUGGAAAAAAGAAUCGUCUGGGACGCAAGCAAAGCUGUCAUGAGGGGAUUCCUGAUACAACAGAAUGUAGUAAAGAAAAAAACACAAAAUGAGAAAAAGACAAGAUUUUGGAUAAAAUAAAAGAAUUAGAGAAGAAAUUAAGAGUGAAUCCAAAGUCACAGCCAACUCUGAGAGAAAUUAAACUGUAUCAAACACAGUAUUCUAAAUUGAUAAAUCAGGAAAUUGAAUGGAAGAUCAAAUUAAUGAAACAAAAACGUUUGAGUCGGCGAAUAAAUGUGGAAAACUGCUAUCCUGGCAGUUGAAGAGAAGACAAAGAUUAAACACGGUUACAAAUUUAGAGGUUGAUGGAAGAAACAUUCAGAAUCCAGUGGACAUUAGAAAGUGUUUCCAGAGAUAUUUUAAAAAUUAUAUACCCAAGGGCCGCAAGACGAAGUUGAGAUUAAACAAUUUUUGGCAAAAAUGGAUUAUCUAAACUGUCACAAGAAAAUAGGACAAUCCUGAACUCUAAAAUAACACGACAGGAGAUUGAACAAGCUAUUCAGAACAUGCAACUUGGCAAAUCUCCAGGGCCAGACGGGCUGACCUCCAAGUAUUACAAGACACUAAAAGACUAUUUGAUACAACCUUUGAUGGAGGUUAGCAAUGAAAUUAUGGAGGGGAAGAGGGCACCGGAUUCGUGGAAGGAAGCGUUUAUCACAUUGAUACCAAAGUCAGAAACUGAAAAGACACAACUGAAGAACUACCGUCCCAUCUCCCUUUUAAAUGUGGAUUACAAAAUAUUUGCAGAUAUUUUGGCAAGUAGAUUUAAAAAGUUUUAAAUGAAGUAAUUCAUAAGGACCAGGCCGGUUUUCUCCCAGGUAGACAUUUGUUUGCUAACACAAGGAACAUUAUUGAUAUUUUGGAACUUCUCCAAACUGACAUAAAUACAAAAGCUGUUUUAAUUUUUAUAGAUGCGGAGAAGGCCUUUGAUAACAUUUCUUGGAAAUUUAUGAUGGGAAACUUAAAAGAGAUGGGAGUGGGACGGGGUUUUGAGAAUGGGAUUGAGGCGAUAUAUUCAGAACAGAAAGCAAAACUGAUAGUUAAUAAUGUGGUUACAGAAGAGUUCAAAAUUGAAAAAGGGACACGACAAGGUUGCCCUAUUUCCCCUUUGUUAUUUAUUUCGGUCCUGGAAGUGCUAUUGAACAUGAUUAGAGGGGACCAGCUGGUGGAAGGAAUUCAGGUUGGUCAGAAACAAUAUAAAUUAAAAGCUUUUGCAGAUGACCUGGUUUUGACCUUGCAGAAGCCAGAGCCUAGUACGAAAAGAGUAUUACAAUUGAUUAAUGAUUUUGGUCGGGUGGCGGGAUUUAAAUUAAACAAACAGAAAACUAAGGUUUUGGGGAAAAAUCUGACUGAGACAGAGUCAGAACGGUUUCAGAAUGAGACGGAACUUAAUGUGGUUAAAAAGUAAAAUACCUAGGGGUAAAAAUAACAGCAACACCUCUAAGUCUAUUUAAGGAUAAUUAUGAAAAAUGUUGGACAGAAAUUAAGAGAGACUUAGACAGUUGGUCAAAAUUGAAACUUUCUUUGUUAGGCCGAAUUGCUGCGAUUAAGAUGAAUGUAUUGCCAAGAAUGUUGUUUUUAUUUCAAACACUGCAGGUAUUGGACAAAAUGGAGUGCUUUCAGAAGUGGCAGAGAGACAUUUCGAAGUUUGUCUGGCAGGGCAAAAAGCCCAGAAUUAAGUUUAAGAUACUAACCGAUGCAAAACAAAGAGGGGCUUUGCCCUGCCGGACUUAAAGUUGUACUAUGAAGCCGCAGCGUUCUGCUGGCUAAAAGACUGGCUACUUCUUGAAGACACUGAUGUGUUAGAUUUGGAGGGGUUUAACAAUGUUUUUGGAUGGCAUGCAUAUUUAUGGUAUGACAAAGUUAAAGCAAAUAAGGCCUUUAAGAACCAUAUUGUUAGAAAAUCACUGUUUAAUGUCUGGACAAAAUAUAAAGACUUGCUGGAAAAUAAAACACCAAGGUGGCUUUCACCUUUGGAAGCUAAGGCCCGAAAAGUCCCAAUAUGGAGGCCAAAUGGCCAAAAUAUUGGGAAAUACUAGAAAAGAUGGAGACAAUUGGAAAUUGCAGAGCUUGGAGAAAAUGAAAGACAAAGUGCGAGAUUGGUUACACUAUGCUCAGAUUAAAGAAGUUUUUAAAAGUGAUAAGAAACUAGGGUUCCAGGUGGAGAAAUCGAAAUUAGAAACAGAAUUGUUAGAACCAAAGACUAAGAUACUUUCAAGGAUGUAUAACUUGCUGUUGGAAUGGAAUACACAAGAUGAAAUGGUUAAAUCGGCUAUGAUAAGGUGGGCACAGGAUAUUGGGUAUAAUAUUAUGUUUGAGGACUGGGAAAGGCUGUGGAGUAAUGGAUUGAAAUUUACUGCAUGUAAUGCUUUGAAAGAAAAUGUAAUGAAAAUGAUUUAUAGAUGGUAUAUGACCCCAGUCAAACUCGCAAAAAUUUACCACCUGUCUGAUAACAAGUGCUGGAAAUGCAAAGAGUGUGAAGGAACGUUCUUUCACCUCUGGUGGACAUGCCCUAAAGUGAAGGCGUUCUGGGAAAUGAUUUAUAAUGAAUUGAAAAAGGUAUUUAAAUAUACUUUCACUAAGAAACCAGAGGCUUUCCUUUUGGGUAUUGUCAGCCAAGGGGUGGCAAAGAAGGACCAGACAUUUUUAUGUAUGCAACAACAGCAGCAAGGAUACUACUCGCAAAACAUUGGAAAACCCAAGAUCUACCCACACUGGAAGAAUGGCAGAUGCAACUGAUAGACUAUAUGCAACUGGCUGAAAUGACUGGCAGAAUCCGUGACCUGGGAGAAGAGAGAAUCGAGGAGGAUUGGAAGAAAUUUAAGAACUACCUACAAAAACAUUGUGAUUUGAUUGAAUGCUGAAUAAGAUGCUGGACUAAAUAACUG
rnacentral:lncRNA from 1 species